rnacentral:lncRNA from 1 species
UACAUCUCCAUAUAUAACAUUUCCAUACUAUCAAUUUAAAUCCUAAUCACUUAUGGAUUCAUUUCAUAUUGUCACACUUCAUAUAUAUAUAAUACACAAUUUCUCAUCUCAUAAUUUAAUCAUUUGUCUAUAUGUAAAUAUAAUUAAGAUAUCAAAGUAAUAAUUAAGUAUUUAAAUUAAAUAAAUAGAGUUCGAGUUCAAAGACUACGAACUUACUCGGAAAAACAUAAUAAAAAUGUCUUGCUUUGGACUGCAUAAACACUUCUUUAGUACUAUCAUUUAAUUUAGCACAAACAUAAUAGAAAUGUCUAGCUUGGACAGCACUAAUACAUGUUUUGGACGACAUUUAAAGCUUAUUUUGGACAACAUUCCUCACAAGAAGAACAAGACAACAUUUUGAAUAAUAACGACCUUAACCACGACAUCAAUAGCUUUUAAAUCAGAUUUUUCCUUUGUAUCAAAUGAACUCUUCAACCGAAAACAUAAGUAGGAAAAUAUAGAAAUUUAAGCAAUUAAAAUUUGACAAAGGCCAAGAAAGGCUCACAAUUAAACAUGAUUGAGUUCUCACUAGCAGGGCAUUUCAUUCUAAACACACAAACAAACAUCACAUUACAAAUAAAAUUUUAAUAUUUUAUAUAUACAGUACUCGUAUAUAUAUUGUCUUAUAGUUCGAUAGUGAUAUAUCAAAGCCACCAAAAAGCAUUUAAUUAAUCAUUCAAGAUCAUGCAAUGUACUAAUUUAAUUUUUUUUAAGUAUAUAAGCUCUUGACCUAUUUUGAAACAGAACAACAACAACAAUUAUUGAAUAGACAGGGUUAAAUUACAUACAUAUUUCGUCUAUUUAAGCAGGAUAAUUCAGACAUGCUUAAUUCCAACGUUCAUUCGGACAUUAUUAAUCUCCUGUAUACAUUCAGACAUAUUAAACUCUAGCAUGCCUUUAGAUAUUAAUUUCCAGCACGCAUUCGAAUACUUUUCGAGCUAACAACAAUUAAAUUUUCAGACAAUUUAGCCCCCUACAUCCUUUCAUCAAAUACUUGUUUCUUAGUUUCAACUUUUAAUAAUGGGACAUUACUAAAAUUGAAACUUUUGGACAGCAAUAUAAAUAGCAAUUUAAACUUUUAUAAGCUCCCAAAUUUUAAACUCCUCAAGCAUAAACCGAACAGCAAUGCAUGUUAGUUCCAACCAUAUUUAUUUUGUGCAUUUUACCCACAGUACAAGAUACGCAAAAUUUAAUAGCAACCCGAAUCAAGCGACAUCCUUAAUCUUUUUCUCUUCAAUUGAAUAAUCAAGAGAUAGUUCCCACAACUUUCAGCCAAAUUCAACCAUAUAUAUAUUUUUUAGUGUUAGAAUAAUAAAAGAAUUUUAAAGAUUUGAGUUCAAGAACUCACCAAAAAUUCCAAGUUGAGCCUAGCCUUGAACCAGUUCUUUCCCCUUCUUACUGGUGCCUUUCCUUUAGACGAAUGAAAGAGGGGUUUUUCCUUCUCCAAGCAAAUUUUCUUGAGAAAAUCAGCUCCUAGCCAAGCCGAACCAAGCAUGCAGUUAGCUCUCUUGUCCCCCUAUAUUCGAACAGUAUCCCAAAAACAUGCAAAAAAAAAUUUUCAUUUCCACCAACCUAAGAAAAAUUAUCUGGAUGGAAGAAAAAAUAUGCUUCGCUUUCUUCUCUCCACAUGUUUUUAUAUUAUAUCUAUUUUUUUAAAAAUAAAUUUCUAGCAUUUAAAUCAUUUUAAGCCCCUGCCAUCAUCGUCCACUACAUAAAUACAUAGGUAUAAUUGCAUUAAAACUCCUUUAGCUUUGAUUUACAUUAUAAUAUCAGUUAACAUAAUAAUAAUUAAACUUUAUAAUAUAUAUAUUCAAAGACAUAUAUAAUAAUGUCAUAACCGACCAUUAAUAAGAUCACAUAUCUUAUGGUUCUAUUUAUUACGUAAGUCCUAUAUAUUUAAUUCUAUUUAUAAAUUAUUCUUUAUUCAAUUACGCGAUUUAGCUCAUGUAAUCUAGCUAAACACUCUUUCGUCAAAAAAUUACAUGACCAAAAUUUAAUUCACUUCUAGUAUAACUCUACAAUUAUUUUUAUUAAAUAUUUACGAGUCCGGUUUAGGGAAAUGAAGUCCCGAUACCUCAAUUUCCAAAACCAUCGACUUUAGAACUGAUACACUUGUACCUUGUCUAACUUUCCAAUAAUUAAAAAUUAUUAGACCAAACUUCAAUAUAAUACUGUAAUAUCCUCGCAAAUAUUAAUAAAUAAUAUUCACUGAUCCUAUCAUUGGGAACAGUAUUCCGAAAUCAUCGUUUCCGACUUCAUUGACUUUUGGGUUGUUACAAAUAAUACUUAAUAUAUAAUUAUAAUUAUUCUAAUGUAUAUUAAUUAUCAUCAACUUUGUAUAGAAUUAGAAUUAGAAUUAGUUUAAAUUUUAUCAUAUCUUAAUAAAAUUUUGUUUUAAUAAAUAAAGUAAUAGCAAAUAAUAUUUUAAUAUACAUAUACUAUUUAUUAAUUGUCAUUAACUUUAUAUGACAUUAGGACCUAGAAUAUUUUGUUGUUAAUUUGUUUGAAGACUUCUAAUGGAACUCUUACCCUUUAUCACUUUAAAUACCACACUCACAUACUUUUCCUUUUCCAUCAAAGCUAGCACCUUUCACCCUCCAAAUUCCCUAGCAUCACAUGCCCUUAGUAGCAGCUCCACACUCCAAGUGCCGCACCUUCAAGCUUCCAGUAGUAGCAUCAACAACUACCCCCUGCUCUUACCAGCAGUUGAAUCACCUAGCUUUUUCCAAACGUAUCUACCAACCCGCACGCCCUGAUGCCACGCAUCUGCUCCCACGCCUGGAGACCUGCAAAAUAGCCCCUUCUCGUGCGUUGCUACUGCUGAUCUCGAACGUCGCUGCUGGCCUCAAACCUUUGUACGCCUCAACCUUGUUGUUACUCCUUUCUUCAAGCCGUGCGCACCCUUGCACAAACCAAACACCCCUUGUCACCUUUGCACCACUCUUCCAUCACAUUAGCCACUGACCAAUCACCCUUCCAACCAACCCUCGACCAAAAUCUUUUGCUUUAAAUUUUAUUUAUUUUAUUUUGAGUCUUUAGUUUUUAUACAACAGUGGUAAGAAAUUUUUUUCCUCCUAAAUUUUAAAUUUAUUUAAUUAUUUAAAAUUUUAAUUAAUUGAAUUAUUAAUAUUUUAUACUAAUUGAAUUUUUGAUAAAAUAUUUGUUUCCAUCUUAUGCUCAGGUUAAUCAUGCAUUGCAAAAGAACUCGUACCUCUAUCCAAGUUGAAGAAUCACAAAACAAAUUUUACUGUGAAGAAGCCAAAGUGAGAUACGAUAGCAUCUUCAAAAAUAAGCAAAUGCUUCCAGAAAAACGCUUUACACUGAAAGAAAGCAACUAUAUCAUUUCAUGGCGCGCAUUCAGCAAAUUGCUUAAGCCCUCAAUUGAGAAUUGUUUUGUGAGAAAAGACUUAGUGCAGAUGAAGAGUUAGUUCAUGAAUUUUAUGAGAAUUUGACCUCAACCGAAUUAACAAAAGUUUCUGUCCGAUAAAUCAAGGUACCAAUAAGCUCAAAUGUUAUUAAUGAAUUCUUUGAAUUACCUGAUUUUGAAGACGGCGAAUAUUCUUCUUUGAUGAGAAAUAUUGAGGUUGAAAAAUUUCAAGAAAUUCUUGUGGAACUUACAGUUUCGGGUUCUAAAUGGACUGUGUCAAAGCAUGGAACUCAUACUUGUCGUAGAGAAUAUUUGACACCAUUAGCGAAGGUAUGGUUAUCUUUCAUUCGAUUAAGUCUUAUGCCUAUUUCACAUAGGACCACAAUUUCAUUAGAGCGAAUGCUCUUGUUAUACUCAAUAUUAAAGGCAAAGACCAUUGAUGUGGGAAAAAUCAUUCUAAGAGAAAUGUGAAAUUGUACCGCUAAACGUUUUGGCCCAGCUUACUUUCCUUUUACGAUAAUAAUUUUGUGGUUGAAAGCUAAAAUUCUUGCAAACAUAAAGAAAACAGGUUAUAGCCAGGGCACAAUCAUAUAUUGGGUCCUCUACUAAAUAGCCAGAGAUUCUGUUCUGCAGUAAUGAGUUGAAUUGAGCGAGGAUCCCGAAGAAGAAGAAGAAGAUCCCACAGAGAUCGAACAAAUGCAGUUAGCUGAAAUCCCUGAUAAGGCAAAACCAACUAAACCAAUAACCGAACCUGACAUGGCGAUCUCAACAUUCAGAACUCAAUCGCCUUGCCCAGAUAUUCGUGGUGAGCUGUCAAUGUUGAUGGACACAAUGCAACAUAUGCAAUGGCAGCAACAAGCUUACUAGAGAUAUCUGAAAAUACAGGAUGACUUAAUGAGAAGCGCUUCUACGAAAAUAUCCAAUGACUCGUUUAUUUUUGUGCUUGAGUUUUCUGAUUUCAUAUUUGAACCAUAAAGUCCAAUAUCGAAGAAGGAACGAAGUGAUUCAUGUAAAAAUAAAGACGAUAGAGCAAAAGAUGAGUCAGAUUCUAAGGGAUCUACAAAUAAAUAAGUAAGAGGGAUCUUUACUUUAUAUUUUUUUCUUUCCUAGGAUAUUUCAUGUUUUCAUGAUUAGGUUCUAUUAGGAUUUUUUCUUGCAGAUGAAAAUCAUAAAUAAAAAUGAACAAGUUACAAAAUAAGAAGUGUGACAAUAGAUAUGUACAUGUCUAAGAUUGGAUCUAGAGAGAGCUUGGUACUUAAGUAGUCAAAUUAACUCACUUCCUCUUUUCUAGAAUCUUGCAUGGUGUAUAGUAUCUAUUCACUUCUAACAAUGAGAACAUUGUUCAUUUUAAGUAGAGGAGACCGAAAAAUUGAAAUUAUUUCCUCUCAAAAUAAAUUUUUCUUUUAAUUAUGGUUAGGUUAUAUUCUAUUCAAAAAAUUGAAAUUUUGUUAAGUAUGCUAAACUUCAGUAUGAAUAAAGUUCUAUUACCUCAAUAAUUAUUAUGUUAGCUGAAUUAUGACAUAAAUGUACUCUUCAUAAAGUAUGUAAAUCAUACCAUAAAAUUUUUAGUUCCUUAGGAAAGCUAGGCAUGCAUGAAAGUUUAAGUCUUUAGAAUUAACUUAGUAAUUUCUUGAGGCGAAAUCCUAGGAAGCAUGGAAUGUUGAAAAUGAUUUAGGCAAACUUUCGUUUGGACCGUUUGAGCCUUUCAAGCCAACCUUGAUAAUUUUUACCUCUUGAAACCCAACUUGUUUUGAAAUUAUGCAUUGGAAAUUGUUAUUUUUUAUUUUACAUCAUAUUGAUUAAACUCCUUUUCAAAUCAUCAAAUUUUCACCACCAACUUGUUAAAUUAUUUAUUUCAUAAAUAUUUCUUUGCACUAUCCUUGUGGGUACGAUAUUAUAACUUGUCACUUUAUUACUUGUUUCAAUUAUGUACACUUGCAUAUUUCCAUCGUUCUAGGAUCCCAGCCUUCGAUAUGGUAUCCACCAUCGGUACAUAGUACAUAAUAAAUAUAACACCGGCACAUAGCACCUGAUACAACAUGAACACUAGUGCAAAGUACUUGAUAAUGUGGUCACCAGUACAUAGUACCUGACAAAUAUAAUCACUGGCACAUACUAUUUCAUAAACCCUAAUAACAUAUCAUUUGUAUUCUAAUCAUUCACUAAGUUCACACGGGCCUAAAUUCAAUUCCCAUAUUCUUUAAGAUAGUCAAAUACACAACAUGGCUAUUUAACAUUUCCUAUUAUAUCUCAAUUCAUUUCAAACACAUAUAAUUAUCAUACUUUACAAUUUAAUCAUUCAAUCUCAAUUUCAACAUUUAUUUCAAACAGUCAUGCUAACACAUUUAUAAAUAAUAUAAAAAUAAAUACGUAUUAACAAAAAUGAACCAAAUACGAACUUACCUAAACAAAACAACAACGAACACAACACCGAUGACUAAUCAACAAUUUUUCCUUUUUCGUGUUUAUCGACUGGUUGAUCUGCUUCUUGAUCUAUAUAAUAAUUUAACUCAAUUAACAAUUCCAAAUACCUUAUAUUGUCUAAACAUAUGCAUAUGACCCUUAUUAACAUUUUACAAUAUUUUCCCUAAAAUUUUACCUUUUAUUCAGUUUAAUCCCUAAAAUAGAAACUUUCAUAUUUUUCAUAAUUAAGCCCCAUUCCUUAAAACCAAAUUCAAUUUCAUCCUUUAUCAAUUCCCAAGAAACUAAAUUUAUAGAAAAUUCAUACAAAUUCAAUAUAUUAUCAUUUUAGUCCCUAAACUCAAAACUAACCAAAAUAACUUUACAAAACAAUUAUAUUUCAUAUCAAAGCUUUAAACUCAAUAAUUUAACAACUAAAAACUUCAAAUUCAUCAAUGGUAACUUUUUAAAUGUAACACCCCAAACCCGGCCCAGUCGUUAUGGCCGGAUCCGAUGUGUCACAUUGAAGUUUUUAAGAAAACCAAUGCCUCUUUCAACGUCCUUCUUAGUGUUUUAAAAGAUAGUCUUUGCUAAGUUAAUAAAGUGAAUGGAAGCUGUGGACCAGGUAGGUAUCCGAAACAGAGGAGGUGAGCCAUGAAGGCUGCUUAAGAACCAAUGCUCUUGAUUGGAUCCAAUCCUAGACAUGCCCACAACCAUUGCCACACUUUGUUACGAGGUUAGGUUUUGAGAAAAACGAGUUGGAAUUCAUUUAAGUCGAUAUUUUUGAUAAACCAAUUAAUUGUAUCGUUGCACUAGUUUGAAAACUAUUAUCAUUUUGGAAAUGCUCCCUAGGUCUAACUCAUAUUGUUAUCAGAAAAAUAUAGCGUAUAAAAUAAAAUAAUCCCAGAAAAAUAAUUAAAAUGGCCUUAUUACAACCCAAAACCAAAUAAUAAUAUUAAUAAGAUGCUACUUAUUGCAAUUACAAGAAAUAGAAACAGUAGUGUGGCCAUCUCCGAGUCUCUCGCAGCUCCAAACCAUCUAAGCUUAGGGAUUACCUGCACAGUUAGAAACGGGGUAAGUUUAUGAAAACUCAGUGUGUAAUCCCAACAACAAACAAACAGUGAAAACACAAUGUCAGUACAAUCUGGGCCAAAGCCCUAUUUAGUCUUGGCAUAUAUUGGGCCGAAGCCUUUUGUUUAGCGGUUACUGGGCCGAAGCUUUUUCAUAAAUCAUAUCACUAGGCCGAAGCCUUAUCAUAAAUCAUAUCACUGGGCCGAAGCCUUAUCAUAAAUCAUAUCACUGGGCUGAAGCCUUAUCAUAAAUCAUAUCACUAGGCUUCGCCUUAUCAUAAAUCAUAUCUCUAGGCCGAAGCAUUUUCAUAAAUCAUAUCACAAGGCCGAAGCCUUAUCAUAAAUCAUAUCACUGGGCCGAAGCCUUAUCAUAAAUCAUAUCACUGGGCCGAAGCCUUAUCAUAAAUCAUAUCUCUAGGCCAAAGCCUUUUCAUAAAUCAUAUCAUUGGGUCGAAGCCUUUACUAUAAAUCGUAUUGCCCUUAGGCCCAUUUUAGUAUCACAUGUAAUGUCAAUGGAUGUAUGCAAGCCUAUUUGGGGAGACUACUCGACCCACCAUCCGCUACUCUCCACCCGUACCAACCAACACACCAAGUGGGGAAUGAUUCAACCCACCCAACCAACACACCACUGGCAGCAUAGCUGCUUUAUCAUAUAUCUGGAGGCCUAGCCUCUUUUAAUAACUGGGGCAAAGCCCUUUUGAUAAACUGGGGCAAAGCCCUUUUCGGUAAACUGGGGCAUAGCCCUUUUAGCACUUCCUCCAUUUAUAAAACCCAACCCAUGCAACCUGACAUGCAUGCAGAAUGUCAUGCCCAUAUUUGAAUCAAACAAUCACAGUCAAGUCAUUCAUAUCACCAACAUAUAUUCACAAUCAAAUUCGUCAACCACACAGUCCAAGUCAGUCACUUACCCACAAGGGCAAAAUAGUCAUUUUUUACAUUAUAAGGGUAAUUUCGUAAUUUUACCAAAUAUCAGGGUUUUCCAUGUUCAUAAACAAUUAUCAAUAUUUUCGAGUGUUUAAACAAUGAUCUUUAACCCACUUUAUCAAACUCGGGCUUUUGGGCCCAAAACCUCUAAUGGGCCUACAAAUGCCGAUUUAGCCCAUUAAGCCCACAUAAUCCAAAUUUUACAACAGUACUAACCGUGUUAACGUGCAACUUUUCCAGAUUCCAUUUUCUAUCAGUUUUACCCAAAUGGGCCCGAAGCCCAUUGGGCCCGAUUCCAGCCUAUUGAGGCCCAACUUACCAUCGUGCACAAAAUUGAGUUCUUACAUGUUCCAUCGAUCCAAACACCGAUCUUAUCGUAUUUAUCGCAUCUAUACCCAAACGCAACAUUACAAGUUCCCAAAAUAUUGGUAUUUUAGCAUUUCGACUUCUCAGCAAAUAUUAAUCUAAGCUAUUACGAGGGUUAGUACACACCUGUUACGGGUUGAAGUUGAAACGUUUCCAAAAUCAAUCGCCUACGAUAACCACCACCUGUCACUCAAACUUAACUAAUCCAAUAUCAAUAUAUGUAAAUCCUAAGCACAUCAGUCAUACGGAACAUAAGGGCAUAUUCGUCAUUUUACCAUAUAGGGGUAUUACGGUCACUUUACCCUACAGGGGCUUUACGGUUUUUUUACCUAAUAGGGGUAUUUUAGUCAUUUCACCCUACAAGGGUGUUUUGGUAAAUCUACAAACCAAGGGUAUUUCAGUAAUUUUGUAAACCAAUGGUAUUUCUAUAAUUUUUAGAAAGUCAAGGGUAUUUUUGUAAUUUUGUAAAUCAGGGGUAUUUUGGUAAUUUUACAAAUUAAGGGUAUUUUGGUAAUUUCAUAAACCAGUGGUAUUUUGAUAAUUUUACAAACUAGGGGUAUUAUGGUAAUUUUACAAACCAAUGGUAUUUUAGUAAUUUUAUAGACUAGGGUAAUUUGGUAAUUUUACUGAUCGAGGGUAUUUUGGUAAUUUUGUAAACCAAGGGUAUUUUAGUAAUUUUAUAAAUCGAGGGUAAAACAGUAAUUCUGUAAAUCAAGGGUAAAAUAGUAAUUCUAUAAAUCGAGGGUAAAAUGGUAAUUCUGUAAAUCGAGGGUAAAACGGUAAUUAUGUAAAUCGAGGGUACUUUGGUAAUUUUACAAGUCGAGGGUAUUUUAAUAAGUUUACAGGUCGAGGGUAUUUCAGUAAUUUUACAAAUCAGGGGUAUUUUAGUAAUUUUACAAACUAAGGGUAUUUUGAUAAUUUUACAAACUAGGGGUAUUUUGGUAGUUUUACAAACUAGGGGUAUUUUGGUAAUUUGGUAAACUAAAGUAUUCUAAAUAGGGAUAACAAUACGAAUGGGCCUAAAGCCCUUUCUCAGCCCAAAUGGGCCCACACGCUCGUGUGGCCCAUUUAGCCCAAAUCUAGCCACAAAUAUGAGAUUCACCUAGCCUAGUCCAAUAUUUACUACACAACCAAACAACUUAUCCAAUUGGGCCCACAUGACCCUUUCGGCCCAUCGCGGCCCGAAGUAGCCAUCCUACAGCUAGAGUAGUGAGAAAUACACACCUGAUAGGAGACUGGAGUUAAUCCACGCUCCGAGCACUCUUAGCCGACGCCCAACCCAAACGAGCACGCCAUACAACGAAAGGGAUCAGCUAAGAAAGGUACCUCUACUCUCCUCAUGGUUCUCUCUAUUUAAAGCCAGCUUCGCAUCCCCUCUUAUGUUAGCUUCCCGAUGUGGGAUCCUUCCAACAUCAGAGUUUAAAUUCAACACCAACUCUUGCCGCCCCCUGUUAGCAAAAUAAAUGCUCCUUGCUUGCCAUGGGAUUCGAAUCCAUGCCUCCCCUCAGAUGCUCCACACGCUACUUUCCACUAAGCCACAAGGCUUUUUGUGUCAUAUUUUAUCCCCAAUUAAUUAUAAGGUCUAAAGGCCAAAGUCCAGGUUCCCUAAAAAAAACCAAAAUAAAUUGCAAGAGCCAAGGCUUGAACCCAGGCUCCCAUACAACCUUAAUGACGCCACAACCACUAGACUACAUGCUUCCUUGUGUCAUUUAUUUGCCACAAUAAUUUAAAAGGCCCUCAUUCAAGCAUCCAGGUUUUUUUUUCACUUAAUACCAAAAUUUUUGCUAAAGCCCAAGUUUAAACCCAAGAUUUCUCCAACACUUCUCAAAGCCAUUAACCACUAAAGUAAACAUUUAAUUGUGUUAUUUCAUUGCACAAUUAAAUACCUAUAUACAACCUCCUUAUAGACCCGCACUCAAGGCCCAAUACUUCUAGGCCCAAAUUCCGGUGUUACAAUUCUACCCCCUUAAAGAAAUUUCGUCCUCGAAAUUUUCCACUCUCAGACUACACCACCACAUUUUCGUUGCUCACUCUGAUACUAAUAAUACUAACAUACACCCAAAACAUUUAUCCAUCGGAGCAGAUAGAUUUCACAUGCAAACAAUUUCUACAUUUCCAGAACGCACACCAAAUAAAUACUAAAUCUAAAUUCAAGCGUUACAAUUUACUCUAACUAGAGAGUUCCAGUAUUGUGCUACUAUCUAUAGUAGUUUCUCAAUAUAGCAUUUCAAUCUAUAACAGUAAAUAGAGUUAGAGAACUUACAGAUUUGGCACCGGAGACUCGAUGUGCCACACCUCCAGUAACAUCUUUUUAGAAACAAGUCAAGUUUCGUUGAGAGAUUUCAAAACAAAAUUUUAGAAAAACCCUUUUCAAACCCCAAUUUUGAAAAAAAAAUAAUAAUAACAAUAAUUUUCUGUUAUCCAUACCACAGUCGAGUUUUGUAACCUGGCUCUGAUACCACUAAAUGUAACACCCCAAACCUCGCCCAGACGUUAUGGCCGGAUCCAACGUGUCACAUUGAAGUUUUUAAGAAAACCAAUGCCUCUUUCAACGUCCUUCUUAGUGUUUUAAAAGAUAGUCUUUGCUAAGUUAAUAAAGUGAAUGGAAGCUGUGCACCAGGUAGGUAUUCGAAACAGAGGAGGUGAGCCAUGAAGGCUGCUUAAGUACCAAUGCUCUUGAUUGGAUCCAAUCCUAGACAUGCCCACAACCAUUGCCACACUUUGUUGCAAGGUUAGGUUUUGAGAAAAACGAGUUGGAAUUCAUUUAAGUCGAUAUUUUUGAUAAACCAAUUAAUUGUAUCGUUGCGCUAUUUUGAAAACAAUUAUCAUUUUGGAAAUGCUCCCUAGGUUUAACUCAUAUUAUUAUCAGAAAAAUAUAGCGCAUAAAAUAAAAUAAUCCCAGAAAAAUAAUUAAAAUGGCCUUAUUACAACCCAAAACCAAAUAAUAAUAUUAAUAAGAUAAAACUUAUAAAGAAAUAAAUCGGCUACUUAUUGCAAUUAAAAGAAACAGAAACAGUAGUGUGGCCAUCUCCGAGUCCCUCACAGCUCUAAACCAUCUAAGCUUAGGGAUUACCUGCACAGUUAGAAACGGGGUAAGUUUACGAAAACUCAGUGUGUAAUCCCAAUAACAAACAAACAGUGAAAACACAAUGUCAGUACAAUCUGGGCCAAAGCCCUAUUUAGUCUUGGCAUAUACUGGGCCGAAGCCUUUUGUUUAACGGUUACUGGGCCGAAGCCUUUUCAUAAAUCAUAUCACUAGGCCGAAGCCUUAUCAUAAAUCAUAUCACUGGGCCGAAGCCUUAUCAUAAAUCAUAUCACUAGGCCGAAGCCUUAUCAUAAAUCAUAUCUCUGCGCCGAAGCCUUUUCAUAAAUCAUAUCAUUGGGCCGAAGCAUUUAUUGUAAAUGGUAUGGCCCUUAGGCCCAUUUCAAUAUCACAUGUAAUGUCAAUGGAUGUAUGCAAGCCCAUUUGGGGAGACUACUCGACCCACCAUCCGCUACUCUCCACCCGUACCAACCAACACACCAUGUGGGGAAUGAUUCAACCCACCCAACCAACACACCACUGGCAGCAUAGCUGCUUUAUCAUAUAUAUGGAGGCCUAGCCUCUUUUAAUAACUGGGGCAAAGCCCUUUUGAUAAACUGGGGCAAAGCCCUUUUCGGUAAACUAGGGCAUAGCCCUUUUAGCACUUCCUCCAUUUAUAAAACCCAACCCAUGCAACAUGUCAUGCAUGCAGAAUGUCAUGCCCAUAUUUGAAUCAAACAAUCACAGUCAAGUCAUUCAUAUCACCAACAUAUAUUCACAAUCAAAUUCGUCAACCACAUAGUCCAAGUCAGUCACUUGCCCACAAGGGCAAAAUAGUCAUUUUUUACAUUAUAAGGAUAAUUUCGUAAUUUUACCAAAUAUCAGGGUUUUCCAUGUUCAUAAACAAUUAUCAAUAUUUUCGAGUGUUUAAACAAUGAUCUUUAACCCACUUUAUCAAACUUGGGCUUUUGGGCCCAAAACCUCUAAUGGGCCUACGAAUGUCGAUUUAGCCCAUUAAGCCCACAUAAUCUAAAUUUUACAACAGUACUAACCGUGUUAACGUGCAACUUUUCCAGAUUCCAUUUUCUAUCAGUUUUACCCAAAUGGGCCCGAAGCCCAUUGGGCCCGAUUCCAGCCUAUUGAGGCCCAACUUACCAUCGUGCACAAAAUUGAGUUCUUACAUGUUCCAUCGAUCCAAACACCGAUCUUAUCGUAUUUAUCGCAUCUAUACCCAAACGUAACAUUACAAGUUCCCAAAAUAUUGGUAUUUUAGCAUUUCGACUUCUCAGCAAAUAUUAAUCUAAGCUAUUACGAGGGUUAGUACACACCUGUUACAGGUUGAAGUUGAAACGUUUCCAAAAUCAAUCGCCUACGAUAACCACCACCUGUCACUCAAACUUAACUAAUCCAAUAUCAAUAUAUGUAAAUCCUAAGCACAUCAGUCAUACGGAACAUAAGGGCAUAUUUGUCAUUUUACCAUAUAGGGGUAUUACGGUCACUUUACCCUACAGGGGCUUUACGGUUUUUUUACCUAAUAGGGGUAUUUUAGUCAUUUCACCCUACAAGGGUGUUUUGGUAAAUCUACAAACCAAGGGUAUUUCAGUAAUUUUGUAAACCAAUGGUAUUUCUAUAAUUUUUAGAAAGUCAAGGGUAUUUUUGUAAUUUUGUAAAUCAGGGGUAUUUUGGUAAUUUUACAAAUUAAGGGUGUUUUGUUAUUUUCACAAACCAGUGGUAUUUUGAUAAUUUUACAAACUAGGGGUAUUAUGGUAAUUUUACAAACCAGGAGUAUUUUAGUAAUUUUACAAACCAGGGUAAUUUGGUAAUUUUACUGAUCGAGGGUAUUUUGGUAAUUUUGUAAACCAAGGGUAUUUUAGUAAUUUUGUAAAUCAAGGGUAAAACAGUAAUACUGUAAAUCAAGGGUAAAAUAGUAAUUCUAUAAAUCGAGGGUAAAACGGUAAUUCUGUAAAUCGAGGGUAAAACGGUAAUUAUGUAAAUCGAAGGUACUUUGGUAAUUUUACAAGUCGAGAGUAUUUUAAUAAGUUUACAGGUCGAGGGUAUUUUAGUAAUUUCACAAAUUAUGGGUAUUUUGGUAAUUUUACAAACUAAGGGUAUUUUGAUAAUUUUACAAACCAGGGGUAUUUUGGUAGUUUUACAAACUAGGGGUAUUUUGGUAAUUUGGUAAACUAAAGUAUUCUAAACAGGGAUAACAAUAUGAAUGGGCCUAAAGCCCUUUCUCAGCCCAAAUGGGCGCACACGCUCGUGUGGCCCUUUUAGCCUAAAUCUAGCCACAGAUAUGAGAUUCACCUAGCCUAGUCCAAUAUUUACUACACAAUCAAACAACUUAUCCAAUUGGGCUCGUAGGCCCAUUGGGCCCACAUGGCCCUUUCGGCCCAUCACGGCCCGAAGUAGCCAUCCUACAGCUAGAGUAGUGAGAAAUACAUACCUGAUAGGAGACUGGAGUUAAUCCACGCUCCGAGCACUCUUAGCCGACGCCCAACCCAAACGAGCACGCCAUACAACGAAAGGGAUCAGCUAAGAAAGGUACCUCUACUCUCCUCAUGGUUCUCUCUAUUUAAAGCCAGCUUCGCAUCCCCUCUUAUGUUAGCUUCCCGAUGUGGGAUCCUUCCAACAUCAGAGUUUAAAUUUAACACCAACUCUUGCCGCCCCCUGUUAGCAAAAUAAAUGCUCCUUGCUUUCCAUGGGAUUCGAACCCAUGCCUCCCCUCAGAUGCUCCACACGCUACUUGCCACUAAGCCACAAGGCUUUUUGUGUCAUAUUUUAUCCCCAAUUAAUUAUAAGGUCUAAAGGCCAAAGUCCAGGUUCCCUAAAAAAAAAACCAAAAUAAAUUGCAAGAGCCAAGGCUUGAACCCAGGCUCCCAUACAACCUUAAUGACGCCACAACCACUAGACUACAUGCUUCCUUGUGUCAUUUAUUUACCACAAUAAUUUAAAAGGCCCUCAUUCAAGCAUGCAGGUUUUUUUUUCACUUAAUACCAAAAUUUUUGCUAAAGCCCAAGUUUAAACCUAAGAUUUCUCCAACACUUCUCAAAGCCAUUAACCACUAAAGCAAACAUUUAAUUGCGUUAUUUCAUUGCACAAUUAAAUACCUAUAUACAACCUCCUUACGGACCCGCACUCAAGGCCCAAUACUUCUAGGCCCGAAUUCGGGGUGUUACAUCAAAUCUAUACUAUUUUUACAAAAUAGUCCCUAGGUUAGCUAGAUUAAGCUACAAUGAUCUCAAUAACAUAAAAUUUACGAAAAACGGAAUCAAAAUCGACUUACAUGCAAUGCACAAGCUUGCCAAACUUCUUAAGGCUUUUCAAUGGUGAUUUUCGAUCAAAGAUGAUGAGAUGAAGAAGAUGAUAAUUAUUUUCUUUUGCUUAUGCUUAAUAAUUAUUUAAUUACCAUUUUAACCUUUAAUUUAUUUCAUAAUUUCUAUACAACACAUGCAUGAACCGUCCAUAAUAAUCUAUUAUGGUCUAAUUACCUUUUAAGGCCCUAAAUAAUUAUAAAUUAAGCAUUUGAGAUGAUAAAAAUGAAUAGUAAUUAAGUUUUGUAGUUUUUACAAUUAAAUUAUUUUUUCAUUAAUUAGCUAUUAAAUUUAAAAAUUACAGGACCAAACUUUAAUACGACACUCUAAUAACCUCUUAAAUAUUAUAUAAAUAAUAUUUAUUGACUUAGUAAUCAGAGUUGUGGUCCCGAAAUCACUAUUUUUGACACCAUUGAAAAUGGGUUGUUAUAGUUAACAUGAAUAUAAGGAUAUUAUGUUGUAUUUGAAAGUUAUUGGCAUGAAAAUUGUAAGUGAAUUGAUUUUAAGUUGAACUGAAUUAGAUGUAUGCAUUAGCUUAUAUUUAUUUAAAUUGUCUUGAAUCAUAGAUUUACCACUGAGCAUUUUGCUCAGUGUAUGCUUUUAUUUUCUUUGUUCCCAGGUAAAGUAGAUUCUCGAUUGAUCGAAUGAUUAUCUUAGCAUCUAGUAAUCGAUCCUCAAAUCAGUAAAGUUUGUAUAUUUCCAUUUGUAAAUAGUGUGGCAUGUACCUAGUUGAGUCACUUUUUGCAUAAUAAUUUAUCUAUGUGAACUUUUGAGUAAAAGUUCAAUAUAUGGGAAUUGCCAAUUGAAUGCAAUAUAUUCAUAAGUUAACUAAUGGUUUGGAAUGUUUUAAAUGCUGCAAAUGUAAAUGGUAUAGGUGAAUUGGUAUGUUUGUAUAGGAUUUAAGUGUAGUAUUAUAAAUUGAUUAAAUCAUAGGCAUUAAAACCUUAGUAUAUUGUUAUAUAUGGUUUUGUGGUUCAUAAUUUUUUGUUUGAGGUUUGCAUAGGUUAGCUGGAUAUUGAGAUAUAUGUGCAUAGUGGUUAAAUGAAAAUUGUAGGUUGAUGUUUAGUAAAAAUUGCACCUCCCCAACUCGACAUAGACAUUAGACCCGAAUUUGAGAGAUUACAUUAGCCACCAAAAUGGCCUAGUAGCAAUCGAGGUUUGUAGAAAAAUCAAUUUAAAAAUAUUUAUUUAUUUUGGAAGAAAGCUUAGUCUAUAUUUAGAAAAACUCAAGAGUUAAAAAAAUGAUUAAGUUUAACAUCUUCAUUAUAACAGUGCUUACUAUUGAAAUUUAGUUGAAAAUCCAAAUUACUUACUUAACAAAACCCAUUUACAAUUCAGCAGCGAAAAAGUGAUAUUAACGUAAUUUUAAUAAAAAUCAUGUUUCAUGCAUAAUUAAAUAAAAAUUCAUAUGCUAACAACCUAAAUGAUUUAAAUGUCAUGUAGGCCUAAGUAAAAACCAUAAACUAAGUCCCAUACCAUAAUAAUAUAGUUUCAAAUAACCAAAAUUAUAAAAUAGUCAGUCUAAAAUAAUUUUAUAUAGAAAUCAAAAUUCUGAGUUGAGCCCACCGAAUGUCGAGUCCGUGUCCUAACCUUGUGGGUCAUCUAAAAAGAAGGAAAAUAAGAGGGGAGCUAUGAAAGCUCAAUGUGAGUUCCAUCACAAGGAAAUCGAAACAAAACAGUAGACAAAGCACUUUAACAAUUCUGAUAAUAAACAUAAUCACAAAGCAGUUUAGAAUAACAAUUUUUCACAUAACAUACUUCACUAUAAAAUUCUCAGAAUUCAAAAUAAUCAUAAUCGAAUAAUAAUUCGAAAUGUCGUUAUUUCAAAUUAAUUCAACACAAAGAAGAAUCAGUGUAAUGAUUAAUUAUAUAGAAACACUAUUCAUUGAACGAUUCUCCAUAGUAAUUUCACACAUAUCAAUAUUCCAGAUUACACAACAAUGUACAUAUGUAUAUAUAUGUAUAAUCUCAGAAUCAUAGUUUUGUAUGCACAUAUUUUUAUGAAUUGUAACAGCCCGUUUUUAGUCAAAUUGGAACAGUGAUUUCGGGACCACAAAUUUGAAGUUGAAAUAUUUAUUUUAUUAUUAUUUUAAUGUCUACGACAUGAAAAUAUCAUUGUGUGAAAUUUUUGUUAAGAAAUUUUAUCAUUUGAGUGCUUAAUUUGAUAAAAAGGACUAAAUCACGUCAAGUGUAAAACUUGUGUUCUAUUAGCUAGAAGUGUCUAAUAUCUAUGGAACCUUAAAGUUAAGGUCCUUAAGUAGUAAUUAGACCAUUUCAAUUGUGAGUGGACAAUUAUGGGCUUAUAUUAAGUGAUAUUUAAUGUUUUAAGCCAAGGUUAAUAUGGUAAUUUGUAAAAUAACUUAAGUUAAAAUAAAAGACAUCAUAAUUCAUCAUCAUCUUUUCUUCAUUCCAUAAAAAAAUUGAAGAAAAUAAAUAACCAAGGGAGCUUGGUAGGGUUCAGCCAUUUUAAUGCUCAAUUGUAAGUCCGUUUUUGUCCCUUUUUUAAUGAUUUCUAUGUUUUUGAGAUCGUUGCAGCUAGGUCUAGCUAGCCCAGGGACUAUUUUGAAAAAUAGUUAAAGAUUUUAAAUGUUUCCAUUGAUGAAUAAGCAUGUAUGUUGAAGUUUCUUGAUAGAUUUUGAAUGUUUGUUGUGAGUUAUACAAGUUUUAUAAAGUGAUUUUUAGUGAAAAUGCAAAUUAGGGAUUAAAUUGUGAAAUGUUGAAACCUUGUGGUUAAAAUGUGAAAUAAAUGGAAAAUAUGAACUGCUAGUGACUAAUGUGUAAAUCGGCUAGCAUGGGUUAGCAUUGAAUUUCAUUAAUUUAUGUUUUUAUGAAACAAUGACUAAAUUGUAAAAGUGGUGAAACAUUAGGGGCAAAUGUGUAGAUGUACUUAAAUGUGUGUUUUGGAUUAAAUUGAAUAGAGAGAUUAUUAAAUAAGUUAAUUUUGAAUAUAUUUAGAUAAAGAAAAGCGAAAUUCAGAUCUAGAUCGGGGGAAAACUAAAGUUAUCGACUAAUCGACUUAUUUCAUCAUUUUCACAUCCGAGGUAAGUUCGUAUGUGAUAAAUUCCAUUAUAAUUGUAUUUUAAAUACUUUGGUAUUGUAUAAGUUGUGAAUAUGAGGCUUCGAAUAAGUUCAACAAUGACUCGAUGGUAAUUUGGCAUUGAAAAUCCCAGUUGAACCUUAGGAAUAGUUUAGGAUACUAGUUGUAACACCCCAAACCCGGCCUGGAAGUUUGGCUCAAACUUGGCGUGUCACAUUGAAGUGUUUUUCGAAAACCAUGUUUCCAUUAAAAACCCUUCUUAAUAAUUAAAAACUUAUACCCUUUUUAAACCUUGUUAGAAAACCUCAGCUGAAUAAAACAUUCUUAACAACUUUGUAAAAAUCUUGGUAGUUGCGGAAACUUACUUUAAAAACAAUAGAGGUUACGUGAUGUUUUGAAUAACAGUAGUUGCUUUGGAAAAUCGUGUUCUAAUACUAGCAAUUAUAAGAACAAUAAAUAAAAUUCCAAAUUUGAAAUCCAGAAAAUUACAACGGCUUUACUACAACCCACAUAAAAUAAUUUAAAGGUAAUAAUCAAAACUGUAACAUAAACAGUGUGUGUGGCUUCCUCCGAGCCCCUAGCAACCCCGAUCCAUCUAAGGCUGGAAAUUACCUGAAAGGUUAAUAAACGGGGUGAGUUUACGAAAACUCAGUGUGAAAUCCCCUACUAUAAAAAGGAACAGUCAAUCAUCUAAAAGAAUUAAAAGUCUGGCCCCAGCCUUACUUACAAUUUCAGUACCAAUCGGGUCUUAGCCCAUUACAACAGACAGUACCAGAUGGACCUUAGCCCAUUACAGAAUAAGAAACAUUAUCAGAAUUGGAACCAAAAUGAGAAUCAGAAUCAGAAACAGUAACAGAAUUAGAAUCAGAAUCAAUAUUAGUAACAGAAUCAGAAUCAGAAUCAGAAUUAGGUGACAGAAUCAGAAUCAGAAUCAGUAACAGAAUCAAAAUCAGAAUCAGUAUUAGUAACAGAAUCAGAAUCAGAAUCAAAAUUACGUGACAGAAUCAGAAUCAGAAUGUGAAUGCAAUCGCAACCCAAUCCAGCCGUAUACACCCUCGUACCAACCUUACACCAUGUGGGGAGACAACUCGACCCACCCAUCCGCUACACACCACAGAAUUCGCAGCAUGGCUGCCAGAACAGAUAUUGGGACAGAGUCACCAGAUACAGAUAUUGUGGCAGAGCCACCAGAAUCAGAUAAUGUGGCAAACCCACCUAACAGAAUACGUGGCACAAAGCCAUAGAUAACUGUAAUAACUUCGGCACAUAGCCAUCAGUGACGGUAAUAUAACUGGCGCACAGCCUUCGGUAAAUAUGAUCGACACAGAGUCGUCAACAAAUAUGUUAGGCACAUAACUACAGGUAAAUACGUUUGGCACGAAGCCAUAGUCAAGAUGGCACAAAGCCAUAUUUAGGUUGGCACAGAGCCAUUAAUAACGGGUCUAUAAUCGGCACGAAGCCCACAACAACGGCACACAGCCUUCGGUAGCGUGAUCGGCACUUAGCCAUCGAUCGGUCAACAGAUAUUGUGACAGAGUCACCAAAUACAGAUAUUGUGGCAGAGCCACCAGAACAGAUAUUUGUGGCAUAGCCACCAGAACGCUUUCUCCGUACAAAAUCCCAACCCAUGCAACAUGUCAUGCAUGCAGAAUGUCAUGCCCAUAUUUGAAUCAAACAAUCACAGUCAAGUCAUUCAUAUCACCAACAUAUAUUCACAAUCAAAUCCGUCAAACACACAGUCCAAGUCAGUCACUUGCCCACAAGGGCAAAAUAGUCAUUUAACACCCUAAGGGAAAAAUGGUAAUUUUAUCCCACAAGGGUAUCUUGGUAAUUCUACCCUACAGGGGUAUUUCGGUAUUUCUACCCUACAAGGGUAUUUCGAUAAUUCUACCCUAUAGGGGUAUUUUGGUAAUUCUAUCCUAUAAGGGUAUUUCAAUAAUUCUACCCUAUAGGGGUAUUUCGGAAAUUCUACCCUCAAGGGGUAUUUCAGUAAUUUCACAAUCAAGGGUAAAAUGGUAAUUCUAUAAAUCGAGGGUAAAACGAUAAUUUUGUAAACUGAGGGCCCGCAACAACGGCACACAGCCUUCAGUAGCGUGAUCGGCACUUAGCCAUCGAUCGGUCAACAGAUAUUAUGACAGAGUCACCAAAUACAGAUAUUGUGGCAGAGCCACCAGAACAGAUAUUUGUGGCAUAGCCACCAGAACGUUUUCUCCGUACAAAAUCCCAACCCAUGCAACAUGUCAUGCAUGCAGAAUGUCAUGCCCAUAUUUGAAUCAAACAAUCACAGUCAAGUCAUUCAUAUCACCAACAUAUAUUCACAAUCAAAUCCGUCAAACACACAGUCCAAGUCAGUCACUUGCCCACAAGGGCAAAAUAGUCAUUUAACACUCUAAGGGCAAAAUGAUAAUUUUAUCCCACAAGGGUAUCUCGGUAAUUCUACCCUACAGGGGUAUUUCGGUAUUUCUACCCUACAAGGGUAUUUCGAUAAUUCUACCCUACAGGGGUAUUUUGGUAAUUCUAUCCUAUAAGGGUAUUUCAGUAAUUCUACCCUAUAGGGGUAUUUCAAAAAUUCUACCCUACAGGGGUAUUUCAGUAAUUUCACAAUCAAGGGUAAAAUGGUAAUUCUAUAAAUCGAGGGUAAAACGAUAAUUUUGUAAACUGAGGGUAAACUAGUAAUUCUGUAAAUCAAGGGUAAAACAGUAAUUUUACAAAUCGAGGGUAAAACAGUAAUUCUGUAAAUCGAGGGUAAAACAGUAAUUCUGUAAACUAAGGGUAAAAUGGUAAUUCUAUAAAUCGAGGGUAAAAUAGUAAUUCUGUAAACUGAGGGUAAAACAGUAAUUCUAUAAAUCAAGGGUAAAAGGGUAAUUUUACAAAUCGAGGGUAAAACGGUAAUUCUAUAAAUCGAGGGUAAAACAAUAAUUCUAUAAACUGAGGGUAAAACGGUAAUUCUGUAAAUCGAGGGUAAAACGGUAAUUCUAUAAAUCGAGAGUACUUUGGUAAUUUUACAAGUCGAGGGCAUUUCAGUAAUUGGUAAACUAAAGUAUUCUAAACAUGGAUAACAAUACGAAUGGGCCUAAAGCCUAUUCUCAGCCCAAAUGGGCCCACACGCUCGUGUGGCCCUUUUAGCCCAAACCUAGCCACAGAUAUGCGAUUCACCUAGCCUAGUCCAAUAUUUACUACACAAUCAAACAACUUAUCCAAUUGGGCCCGUAGGCCUAUUGGGCCCACAUGGCCCCUUUCGGCCCAUCGCGACCCGAAGUAGCCAUCCAACAACAAGAGUAGUGAUAAAUACACACCUGAUUGGAGACUGGAGUUAACCCACGCUCCGAGCACUCUUAGCCGACGCCCAACCCAAACGAGCACGCCAUAAAGCGAAAGGGAUCAGCCAAGAAAGGUACCUUUACUCUCUUCAUGGUUCUCUCUAUUUAAAGCUAGCUUCUCAUCCACUCUUAUGUUAGCUUCCCGAUGUGGGAUCCCUCCAACAUCAGAGUUUAAAUUCAACACCAACUCUUGCCGCCCCCUGUUAGUAAAAUAAAUGCUCUUUGCUUGCUAUGGGAUUCGAACCCAUGCCUCCCCUCAAAUGCUCCACACACCACUUGCCACUAAGCCAUAAGGUUUUUUGUGUCACAAUUUCUCCAACAAUAUUCUUAAGGCCUACCUACUACACCCAGGGUUUGAUUCACCUUAAACCAAAUUUUUUGCUAGAGUCCAGGUUUAAACCCAGGACUUCUCCAACACUUCUCAACACACUUAACCACUAAAACAAGCCUUCAUUAACGAAAUUUGCAUGCACAACAGAAUAUUAUAAGCUACCUUAAACCGCUCCCAUGCUCAAGGCCCAAAACUUCUAGGCCCAAAUUCAAGGUGUUACACUAGUGACAUGUCAUUAGGGAACAUUGAUUUGAAUUCGGGCCGUGAUAUUAACUGAUUUGGCUUUGGGCCAUGAAUAUCAACUGAUUUGGCUUCAGGUCAUGUGUAACGGCCCAAAUUUCUGUGAUAUCAGAACAGUGAUUUGAAAUCACUAAAUCCAACAUGUGAGUUUAGAUAUUAGUAAGUAAAUGUUAAGUUUGAAUUAGUGAAAUUAUGAAUUAAAGGAAGUUGUAGAUAAAAUGAGAUAAAAACGAGGUAUUGAGACCUUGAAUUCAUAAACCGAGCCAUAAAUAUUUUUAAAAAUAUUUAUGGAGUGUUAAUAAGUUAGUAUUAAAGUUUUGUCAAGAAAUUUUAAGGUUUUGGUAGUUAAUUGGGUAAAAAGGACUAAAUUGAAUUAAAUGCAAAAUUGUGAGAUGUGAUUAAAUUUCUCUAGUAAUAAUUAAAGGAGGACUAAAUAGGCAAUUAAACACCUAUUAUUGGGCUGGACGACAUGUGUGUGCAGGAAAAAUAAAAAUCAAGUGUGAACAAGGGGCAAAAUUGGAAAUAGGGUAAAAAUUUAAUAGUAAAAUAUGAUGUAGUUGGUAAUUCUAGAGAAUUCAACAUUUUUCUUCAUCUUCAUCAGGUAAAAACACCAUUAGAGAGCUUUUAAGAAGCUAGUUUUUAUAUUCUACAGCAUAUAAGUUCAACUCUUGAUUAUUUCUUGUAAUUUUGUGUUUUUAAGAUUUUUACAACUAGGUCCACUUGUUUAAUUCAUUAGUUUUGAUUUCAUGGGUAAUUUUGAAAGUUCCCAUGAAUAAGUGCUGAAAGUUUAUGAUGAUUUAUCAUGGAAUUGAAGUUUUAAUUUUAUUUUAUGAUAAUUUUAUGAAGAGAUUUACAUAGAAAUUAAUUGUAAGACCUAAUUGUGAAAGUUGUUGAAAUUAGGGUUUUGUGUUGAAGCUUGGAACGUCAAAGAUUGUGAAGUAGUUUGUAGUGUUUAGAUAAAAUGAUAUUUGAAACUAAUUAGUUUAAUUGAUGAACAAAUUGAGUAGGGACUAAAUUGUAAAAACUAAAAAGUUUAGGGUAAUUGUGUAAUUUUGAAAAUUUAAGGGCACAAAUUGUGAAAUAGAAUAGAAUUGAAAUAUAUUCUAAUGAAGGAAUGGUUUUAUAAUUAUAGAUUAAGAAAAUGAAGUGAAUCGUGGAAAGGAUAAAAUUCAAGAAUAGUCCUUGAAUUUCUACAACUUUUGCAAAUUAGCCAGGUAAGUUCAUAUGGCAAAGUUCAAUGUUUGAUAUGAAAAUCUUAUGAUUGUUAAAGUAUUUUAUUGUAGAUGAAUACUAUCAAAUUGUAUUAACUAAUAAAUAAUGUGUGACUAAAAGAACAAAUUAGUUGGAACAAUGGUUUUGAGUGCUUUCAUUUUAUGACCAUAAUGAAUUGACAGAAAAGAUGUGAUAUGUGCUUCCGUAUAAGACCAUAGCAGAGCUAUGGCAUCGGUACAAUAUGAUUUGUGUUCCUGUAUAAGACCAUAGCUGGUGAUACGGGGAAUGCGCGCGGACCAAGAUCGAGUUGCCAAGUCACGGGAAACUCCUACGAAAACCCUAAACAAUCAGAUCCGAAACGAAACAGAAAAAUUAAAAGAUUAGAACUUUGAAUUUCCAGAUCUGAAAUAAAAUCCCCAAAUCAGCAAAGAAUCAAAUUGAGAAUAGAAAUAAGUGUUAGGGUUCUUGAAACCCUCAAGGAGAUUGUGAUUCUGCCCAAUUGAACACCAAGAUAGUUUUCCCCAAAUUUCGACAAUCUAAUUUCACCCAAAAAGAGUAUGGAAAAACCCUAGAAAUUGGGGAUUUUUGGGCUGAUUCCUUAAGAUAGAAAAAGACUGAAAACACAAUAAGAACAGAAAAUAGAUUAGAUAAUGAUUCAGCACAAGUAGAAAUAAAGAAAGAAUUGACAGUAAGAAAUUAAAAGAUAAGUCCUAAGAAGCCUUGAAAUCUCGAAAGAUCUCACAACUCCCUUCAAACGGCUCUAAUCUCCCCUCCAAAGAAUAUCAAUGGCAAGAAGAAGGUUGAAGAUGGCUCCCACAAUCAAAAAGAUUGUUAAAACAACUUCUAAAGAAAACUCAAGAGAAAAUCCUUGAAGAACUCAAAGAGAAUUUUCACUCAAAUCAAAUCUGAAAUUUUCAAUGUAAUUGUAAUGUAAUGUAGGGUGGCUGGCCAAGCCAUAUAAAUAGGCCUUUCAAAUGUUUUCCUAAUUUAAUUAGAACACUAAAACUAAAACUAAAAAAAAAACUCCUAAUUAUUUUAAUAUGGAAAUUCAGCCAAGGGUCUUUUAUUUGGGACUCUUGGACUGAAUAUAAAAAUUUAAACUAAGUAAAAUAAAUAAAUAAAAAAAUAAAACUUUACAACUUGGGCCACUUUGACAAUUUGGCCUGAUUUUCAACUAAGUAUGGGUGGAUUUCUUGAUUGGGCUUGGAAGAAUUUGCUUAUUGGGCCUCGCCUUCAAGAAUUUGGGCUUUUGUGACUCGUAUCAGCUGGGCUAUGGUAUCGGUGUGUUAUGAUAAUGUGAUUCCUUAUCAGACCAUAUCUGGGAUAUGGCAUCGGUAUGAUAUAUGAUCCGUGUAAGACCAUGGCAAAGCUAUGGCUUCGGUGUCUGAUGUGUGACAAUGUGAAAGUCCAUAGUUUACUAUGGAAAUGUAAUAAUGAAGCAUUCAAUUCCCUUAUUGUUCCCUAAUUUGACAAUGAAAAUAUAUGAGAAAUGGGCCCAAGGGAGUUAAAUUUGUGAAUAGCAACAUGGAAAUUAUCCAAAUGAGUUAUUAAUGAAAUUGUGAUUUGCAGGAUGAAUUAGUUAAAGUAAUAGAUAUAUGAUAGUGUAUAAUAUUUGGUAUGAUUUGUGUUUUUAUGCCUAUGAGAGCUUACUAAGCUUUUAUAAGCUUACUUUUGUAUGAUAUUUGUUUUUUAGAUUGACUUAUAUACAUACAAAGGAUUGGAUCUACAACAAGGAUCACACUAUCCAGAUUUAUUCCGGUAGAUUUUGUUAAACAACUUUUUGAUUUAUAUGGCAUGUAUUGGAGGUGAUUUGAUAAUGUAAUUGUAUGGAUGAUUAAGUAUGCAAAGUAUGUUGAAUGUGAUGUUUUGUGUAUGAAAAUGAAAUAUACAUGUUUUGGCUUAAAAUAAUUGAUUGGUUGGAUUCUUAGUGUAUAAUUAUGUUUAGGUACAGGAAAUGGAUAAAUGAAUGUUAUUUGAUCAAGAUUUAUAAGUCAAUGUUUUGGGCAUGAACUAUGUGUGUUUGAUAGGUGAAAAUAGCUUAAAAAUGGUGAAAAAUCAAGUUUUAACAAGGCCAAGUCACAUGGGCGUGUGCCCAGGCCGUGUGGCAAAGUCAGAAUCGCCCAUAGGCUAGUCCCAUGGUCGUGUGAAUAAGACAAAUCUGCCCACAGGCUGGCCCCACGGCCAUGGGAGCCCCACGGGUAGGCCACAUGGGCAUGUCCCNNNNNNNNNNNNNNNNNNNNNNNNNNNNNNNNNNNNNNNNNNNNNNNNNNNNNNNNNNNNNNNNNNNNNNNNNNNNNNNNNNNNNNNNNNNNNNNNNNNNNNNNNNNNNNNNNNNNNNNNNNNNNNNNNNNNNNNNNNNNNNNNNNNNNNNNNNNNNNNNNNNNNNNNNNNNNNNNNNNNNNNNNNNNNNNNNNNNNNNNNNNNNNNNNNNNNNNNNNNNNNNNNNNNNNNNNNNNNNNNNNNNNNNNNNNNNNNNNNNNNNNNNNNNNNNNNNNNNNNNNNNNNNNNNNNNNNNNNNNNNNNNNNNNNNNNNNNNNNNNNNNNNNNNNNNNNNNNNNNNNNNNNNNNNNNNNNNNNNNNNNNNNNNNNNNNNNNNNNNNNNNNNNNNNNNNNNNNNNNNNNNNNNNNNNNNNNNNNNNNNNNNNNNNNNNNNNNNNNNNNNNNNNNNNNNNNNNNNNNNNNNNNNNNNNNNNNNNNNNNNNNNNNNNNNNNNNNNNNNNCUUCUUUAGUUCUUCCCUAGGAUAGGAGUCUACUAGUAAAUAUUUUUCCAAUUAUUUUAACCUUGUUCGUGAGUUUACUGUUUAGUAUAAAUUCCAUUGCAAGAUAUUAUAAUUUUUACAUUAUAUUUUCAAUGAUGCAUGUAAGAUUAGUUGCCACAGAAGUCUGGUAUUUUAGAAACACAAAUGAUAUUAGGUUGGCAACACUUUUAGGUAGUAUUAAACUUAUGAUAAAAAAUGCCAUGUGAUCCAGGUUGGUGGCUCUGAAGAUGUGUAUCUUGCUGCCAAAUCCUUACUCCUCUCGAUGGGAAAAGAGGAACUGCAAGAGGCUAUUGAUUUUAUAUCUCUGUUCGGGUAAAGUGGGCUUUGUGCUUCAGUCAGAGCUGCCUUGGUUCUUAGUGGUAGUAUGGGUUCUAUCUAAUUCAAAAAUGAGAAAGAAAAGGAAAGAAUGGGCAGAUAAUGUAUCUUUCAAAAAUGAUGAAAGUGCCACAAGUAGAGUCAAAACUAAGAGUGUUUUGUUUCAAGAUUCAGUUCCGAACUCAGGUUUGGCGGUAUCUCCAUAGUAAAUCUGAUUUGAUAAAUUUACAAUAUUAUUCAAUAAUUAAUCUCCUUCUUGUUUCUCCUUUUUCUUUUAUUGAAUCACUUGUUUAUCCUCUGUUCUUACAUUUUUUUACCACCUGCAGGUUUCUGAAUUUAAAAGGAGCUUAAAUACUGUAAAUUCUGCAUGUAAUGAGGUAUAUCAUUAAUGUUGUUGAUGACGGCAGUGUUUAUUCGUUCUUAUCUUACAACUUUUGUAUUGGUUAUAUAGGUACGAAAUUUCCUUAAAUUGAAGGAUCUCAUGAAGAAAAUUCUCUAUCUGGGAAAUACAUUGAACCAAGGAACUGCAAGGGGUAAGUGACAUUCAAUUUCUCCUUUUGGCUUCAGUCUUUGAUGCUACAAUUGCAGCUUGUAAAAAGAUUAUGCAGAGAAAAUAUUACUAGCUAAACAACAUGUAAUGUAUUACUAAAACCAAUUAAGGUUCGCUUGUCCAGUCCUUGCAUUAUCUAAGAAUUGGGUAAUAUUCAAAUCGAUCAAAAACUAGUUAUUUAUUGAACAGGUAAAAAACCAAUUAUUUUUUUCCCUUUUUCUUAAAUUAAAGACCAUGCCAUUAAGGUAAAUGCUUAUUAUUGUUAACUAUUAAUUAUAUUAACUAUUUAUUUUACAUUAAAUUAAUGUUUAAACAUAAAAAAAUAAAAUAAGAAACAAUCAAACCAAUUGGUUUAACCUGUGGUCCAGUUUCUUUAACAUUGGCAUUUAUGUCCUUUAAUGUCGAACUUCUACAUUUAUGUCUUUCAUUUUGAAUUUUUAGAUGAUAGUAGUGUCAAUCAAUUCUUUGUCCCUUGUUAUGCUAUUAGUUCCUUUGUUUUGCAUUUUCUUUUUUUCUUUUUUUGCCAAAGCCACUUGUCCCAGGUGUCAUGUUUUUUUAUGCAACUUUAAAUUUAAAGUUGAACUCAGGGAAGAAAUAGAGAUAAAAACAACUAACAUAGUGGAUCAGGAAAAUGCUUUGCCAUGAGCUGCUUUCUGUUUGACUUGUUUACGUAUCUAAAUAAUAGAUUGUUUGAGGAUAGGCCAUGGAUUUGGUGAUAUUUUUUAUUUAAACUAUGUAGGUUUUAGAUGCAACGCCUGUAAAUGCAAAGGCACAUGAUUAAUAACAUGAUCAAUGAUUUUUGUCGAAACAAAUUCUAAUUCUUGCAUAUAUGAUUAAUAACAUGAUUAAUAACAUGAUUAAUGGUUCUUCAAAUUUUCCAAAUGUGUCUUUAAGGUGCUCGAAAAUGUCAUAUUAAUGUUGUCCAUAUAUGAUUUGAAUGCUGGAAAUUUACAGCAUUUAGUUUCCUGCUUGAAGUUGAUUAAACCAUGCUGUAAAUGCAAACAUUAUGCUGUUCACAUGCUAAAUUAACCAUUAGUGAGCUUAAAAUUGAUCUAUUCGAAUGUGUUAAAUUCAUUGUUCAAUGUGAUGUUAUUUCUGCUAAUGUAUUGAGUAUAUUAAGUUGUGCAAUUUGAUGUUAUAUGUGGCGUUAAUAUUGACUUGUUAAUUGCAUAUUUUAUUAUUAAUUUGAUGUUAUAUGUGUCAUUCAUUAACUUUUUUUUUCUUUUUUCUCAGGUUUGAGUUUUUGUUGGAUACAUGGUCUAGGAUUAGCUGAAUUCAUGCAUAGUGACGACUUGUUUAAGCUAAUUGUUUAUCUUAAAGUGUGCAUUCUAUCAUUAUUUUGUUCUAUUUGUAUUUUGUUAGAUUUCUGGUGUAGUAUGAUAAGUGCGGUAUUUUGUUUGGCGGGAUGUAUUUAUAUCAUAGAUUAUUCUUCUUCUCAAUAUUUUGAUAAUGAAUUUUAAUUUUUUUAUAUUUUUCAGGACUUUUUUAUAAUAUUUUAUUUUUUUUUAAUUUUUAUGACCUUUAGCGGCGUUUUUUCAAAUAAACGCCGCAAAAUUUUGCAGCGCCGUCUAUAGCGACGUUUUUUGCGGCGCUUGCAAAAACGCUGUGAAUAGUUUUAGUGGCGCUUAAAGGCGCCGCUAAAGGCCUAAAAAAAAGCCGCUAAAAAUCAGUUUUGCUGUAGUGAUCGUUGCGUUAUUUUGAAAACAAUUAUCAUUUUGGAAAUGUGCCCUAAGUCUAACCCAUUUUGGAUUGUUAUCAGUAAAAUAUAGGGUAUAAAAUAAAAUAAUCCCAGAAAAAUAAUUAAAAUGGCAUUAUUAUGACCCAAAACCAAAUAAUAAUAUUAAUUAAGAUAAAACUUAUAAAAAAAUAAAAUAAACCGGUUACUUAUUGCAAUAAAAAGAAACAGAAACAGUAGUGUGGCCAUCUCCGAGUCCCUCGCAGCUCCAAACCAUCUAAGCUUAGGGAUUACUUGCACAGUUAGAAAUGGGGUGAGUUUACGAAAACUCAGUGUGUAACCCCCAACAACAAACAAACAGUGAAUAACAUAGUGUCAGUACAAUCUGGGCCAAAGCCCUAUUCAGUAACAGUACAGUCUGGGCCUUAGCCUUUAAACAGUAGCAAUAUGGGCCUAAGCUCUAAUUCAGUCUCGACAUAUACUGGGCCGAAGCCUUUUCAUAAAUCAUAUCACUGGCCGAUGCCUUUACUGUAAGCGGUAUGGCCCAUAGGCCCAUUUCAAUAUCACAUGCAAUAUCAAUGAAUGUAUGCAAGCCUAUUUGGGGAGACUACUCAACCCACCAUCCGCUACUCUCCACCAGUACCAACCAACACACCAUGUGGGGAAUAACUCAACCCACCCAACCAAACUCUCCACUGGCAGCAUAGUUGCUUUAUCAUAUAACUGGAGGCCUAGCCUCUUUUAAUAACUGGGGCAAAGCCCUUUUUGGUAAACUGGGGCAAAGCCCUUUUCGGUAAACUGGGGCAUAGCCCUUUUAGCACUUCCUCCAUUUAUAAAACCCAACCCAUGCAACAUGUCAUGUAUGCAGAAUGUCAUGCCCAUAUUUGAAUCAAACAAUCACAGUCAAGUCAUUCAUAUCACCAACAUAUAUUCACAAUCAAAUCCAUCAACCACACAGUCCAAGUCAGUCACUUGCCCACAAGGGCAAAACAAUCAUUUUUCAUAUUAUAAGGGUAAUUUCAUAAUUUUACCAAAUAUCAGGGUUUUCCAUGUUCAUUAACAAUUAUCAAUAUUUCCGAGUGUUUAAACAAUGAUCUUUAACCCACUUUAUCGAAUUCGGGCUUUUGGGCCCAAAACCCCUAAUGGGCCCUACGAAUGCUAAUUUAGCCCACUAAGCCUGCUUAAUCCAAAUUUUCAAUAGUACUAACCGUGUUAACAUGUAACUUUUCCAAAUUCCAUUUUCUAUCAGUUUUACCCAAAUGGGCCUGAAAGCCCAUUGGGCCCGAUUCCAGCCCAUUGAGGCCCAACUUACCAUCGUGUACAAAAUUGCGCUCUUACCUGCUCUGUAACACCCCUUACCCGUACCCGAGGCCAGGAUAAGGUACGAGGCGUUACCGGACAAACAUACAAACAUUAAACUAAAAUACAGGCCAUAAAAUUUCAUUCAUAUUUCAAAAUGUUCAUUCACUUACACAUAGUCCCUUAUUUGAGUCUACGAAGUCCUUUAUUUGAGUCUACGAAGCCCAAAACAUACUUUACAAAGGUUUCGGGACUAAACCGAGAACUUACAAAAAUCUUGGAAAUUUCAUGCUUUAAGGCUCCACACGCCCGUGUCCCAAAGUCGUGUUCCAUACACGGCUGAGACACAUGGUCGUGUCUCUGCCUGUGUGGAAUAUACUUAGGCUAUUUUCCAAGCUUUGGUCAACCUUAAUCUCUUACACACUUAUACAAAUCAAAAGCAUAUAACAUGGUAUUCAUUUAAUGAUUAAAUAUUCUCAAUUAAACCACAAACAUAGCAUUUGUAUGUCAUCAUACAUGUGUAUCUCAUACUCAUUUUACCUUAUUUAUUAUAGUACCACUUAUACAUUUAUACCAAGAUUAUCAUCUUACCAAAUAUCUUCAGCUUAAUCAUCAAGCAUUCAUAUUUAAAACUAGAUCAUAUCUUUAUAAAAUACCACAAUUCAGAUGCGCAAAAUAACGUGUUUGCCUGAAACAUUUCAAUUCAACUCCAUACCCAACAAGCAUUACAUUGAGACUAGUCAUAUAUAUAUACACAUGUCAUGAUACAUAUCAUUUAUUUCAUUAUAUCAAUAUUUCAUAUACCAUAGUUUCCAUGUAUUCCACAUAUAUUUAUUUUCCUCCUCCUCCUCUUCAUUCCACAUCCUUAAUGUAUAUAGCAUUCUUGUAAGUACGAUUUCACAAUUUACUAAUAAAUGCUCACAUCAAACUGUCCACACGAGUCAUAGUUACUUACUUAUUUAUAAUUCGAGCUACAGAGCUCCAAAUUAAGAUCUGUAAAUUUCCAAUAAAACUAGACUCACAUAUCUUUCCACCAUAAAUCUUUCAUAAUUUUUGGUUUAGCCAAUUAGUACAGUUUAUUCAUUAAAAUUUCCCCUGUUUCACAUUCUAACAGUUCUGACCUCUCUUAACUAAAAAUUAAUUAUCUCACAGUACAAAAUUCAGAUAAUGUUCUUGUUGAUUUAUCUUGAAAAUAGACUCAUUAUGGAUUUUAAAAAUAUAAUUUUAAGCCUCUAAUUAUUUUUAUCCAAAUUUUUAUGAUUUUCUAAAGUCAGAACAGGGGAUCACGUAAUCAUUCUGAACCAGUCUCACAAAAACAUAAAUAUCUCAAAAUAUAAAACUCCUUUUUUUUCUCUGUUUCUUUUAUAUGAAAAUAGACUCAUUAAGCUUUAAUUUGAAAUCUCAUUCAGUCUCUGAUUCAAUUUAUACUAUUUUUGUGAUUUUUCAAAAUCACAUUACUGCUACUGUCCAAAACAGUUUUAUUGCUAAUUCACUCUUUCACACUUUCUUUGUAUUAACCUCAUUUUAACAUACAUAUCACAAAUCAUUUUCACCACAUUUCAUACAUUACAAGUAUAGGCCUAUGAUCACAAGAUCACCAUAAAAUCAUCCUCAUGUAUAACUUACUUGUUUAUAACCUUACCACAUCCUAGUCACUUAAUGAACACAUCAUUCACAUAACCAAGUUCCUGCACUUAUUCAUCACAAAACUCACAAAGCAAUACAUAGAGAGUCUCCCGUUGAACACUUCGGAUCAAUCCUCGAUACUUUAUGGUUUCAGCACAUAGCUCCACCCAUCAUAUAGUUCGGCACUCUUGUACACAUGGUGAACACUCAGUACCACCCAUGUGACCUAGCCAAUUUAUCUCGUAGCUCUCUUGUCUACAUGGUGUCCUUCACCUGGAACCACGCAUGCGACCUAGCUACAUAUAUCCCGUAGCUCUAUUGUCUACAUGGUGUACACAUAGUAUCACCCAUGUGACCUAGCUACAUCAUAAUGUCUUGUGGCUCUCUUGUACACAUGAUGUGCACUCAGCACCAUACAUGUGACGUAGCUACAUACUAUCUGUAUCAUCCAAUCUUUCUGAAAGUUCAACUGGGAUUUCUCUCUCUUUUCCAACAAUUUCACCAAUCAAGUAAUUAUACACAAAUAUAUUUCCAAUAUUAUUAUAAAAUAUCAUAAUACAAGUAAUAUUGAUGUAUUACUUACAUAUAAACUUACAUCUCAUUUAAUAUCAAGGCAAUAACAUUAAAUUACACAUUGCCUUAUUGAAAAUCAUAUGAACUUACAAUUUCCCAUAAUAUCCAUAAUCAUAGAAAUCACAUUUAUGUAUGAUAAUUCAAUGCACUUCAUGUACCAUAGAGAUAUUUUUAAAUCAAUUCAUAAACUUGGCACCAUAAUCAUUUAAUUUAACAUAAUUCAAUUAAUUCACUAAAUUUAACUUUCAAAUAUAAAUUACAGCAUUAUUGCUGUAUUAUUAUCAUACCAACUUACAUACUUUCAACACCUCGAAAAUUAUAAUAAAUAUAUCAAUUUUACAUUGAAACAUGCAUAAAUUAAUGCUUAUUAUACAUAUGAACUUACCUCGAUACUAAAACGACCAUUUUACCAACUUUCCCAACUUUCGAUUUUUCUCUCAUUCUAGGUUCAGAUCUCAUUUUUCGGGAUCUAAAACAUCAUAUUUUUCUUAUUUAAUUAAUGUACUAUUCAAAACAGUCCUUAACUCAAACUUUGGAAAAAUUACAAUUUGCCCCUAAACUUUUGCAUAUUUACACUUUUGCCCCUAAACUUUGCAUAUUUACACUUUUGCCCCUAGGCUCGGGAAUUAAACUUCAUCCCUUAUUCUUAUGUUUUAUGACAUCCUGAUCACUUUUCCUUUCUAUGGAAACAUCAAAUUAUCACUCUAACAUAUACUUAUGACUAUUAGGUAUUUUUACCGAUUAAGCCCUUUUACUCGUUUUCACUCAAAACCGAGUAGCACAAGUUGUCUAACAUAAUUUAAAACCUCAUAUUCUAUCAUAAAACAGAAAAAUAAACACAUUUCACCUAUGGGUAUUUUUCCAAAUAUGAACCCUAGCCUAAAUUAUUGCUAGAAUAAGCUUAAUCAAAUUACCGGGAUUCCAAAAACGUAAAGAACUUGAAAAACGGGGUUAGAACGGACUUACUAUUGAGCUUGGAAAGCUUGAAAACCCUAGCCAUGGCUUCUCCCAUGCUAAUUUCGGCCUCCAUGAAAAAGAUGAGUCAAUUUUGGCUUUAUUUUCCCUUUUUAUUUCUUUGAAUUACCAAAUGACCAAAAUGCCCUUCCUUACUAAACUUUCAAAAAUUCCAUCCAUGUCCAAUUUUUUUCCAUCACUUAGAAAUUGGUCAAAUUUCUAUUUAAGACCUCCUAAUUAAUAUUUCAAAGCAAUUUCAUACUAGAAACUUCUAGAAUGCAAGUUUUGCAACUUAUUCAAUUUAGUCCCAAACUUCAAAUUGAGCACUUUAUGCAUAGAAUUUCUUCACGAAAUUUUCACACAAUCAUGCAAUCAUAUCAUAGACCUCAAAAUAAUCAUAAAAUAAUUAUUUCUCUCUCGAAUUUCAUGGUCUUGAAACAUCUGUUCCAACUAGACCCAAUUUUGGGCUAUUACAUGCUCCAUCAAUCCAAACACCGAUCAUAUCAUAUCUAUCGCAUCUUUACGCAAAGGCAAAAUCACAAGUUCCCGAAAUGCUGAAAUUUUAGCAUUUUGGCUUUUCAGCAAAUAUUAAUCUAAGCUACUGCGAGGGUUAUUACACACCUGUUAUGGGUUGAAGUUGAAACGUUUCCAAAAUCAAUCACCUACGAUAACCACCACCUAUCACUCAAACAUAACUAAUCCAAUAUCAAUAUAUGUAAAUCCUAAGCACAUCAGUCAUACUGAACAUAAGGGCAUAUUCGUCAUUUUACCAUACAGGGGUAUUACGGUCACUUUACCCUACAGGGGCUUUACGGUCUUUUUACCUAUUAGGGGUAUUUUAGUCAUUUCAUCCUACAAGGGUGUCUUGGUAACUCUACAAACCAAGGGUAUUUCAGUAAUUUUGUAAACCAAUGGUAUUUCUAUAAUUUUUAGAAAGUCAAGGGUAUUUUUGUAAUUUAGUAAAUUAGGGGUAUUUUGGUAAUUUUACAAAUUAAGGGUAUUUCGAUAAUUUCACAAACCAGUGGUAUUUUGGUAAUUUUACAAACUAGGGGUAUUUUGGUAAUCUACCCUAUAGGGGUAUUUCAGUAAUUUCACAAUUGAGGGUAAAACGGUAAUUUUGUAAAUCAAGGGUAAAACAGUAUUUCUGUAAAUCAAGGGUAAAACAGUAAUUCUAUAAAUCGAGGGUACUUUGGUAAUUUUACAAGUCGAGGGCAUUUCUAUAAUUGGUAAAUUAAAGUAUUCUAAACAGGGAUAACAAUAUGAAUGGCCCUAAAGCCCAUUCUCAGCCCAAAUGGGCCCACACGCUCGUGUGGCCCUUUUAGCCCAAAUCUAGCCACAAAUAUGAGAUUCACCUAGCCUAGUCCAAUAUUUACUACACAAUCAAACAACUUAUCCAACUGGGCCUGUAGGCCCAUUGGGCCCACAUGGCCCCUUUCGGCCCAUCGCGGCUCGAAGUAGCCAUCCUAUAGCUAGAGUAGUGAGAAAUACACACUUGAUAGGAGACUGGAGUUAGUCCCCGCUCCGAGCACUCUUAGCCGACGCCCAACCCAAACGAGCACGCCAUACAGCGAAAAGGAUCAGCCAAGAAAGGUACCUUUACUCUCUUUAUGGUUCUCUCUAUUUAAAGCCAGCUUCGCAUCCACUCUUAUGUUAGCUUCCCUAUGUGGGAUCCUUCCAACAUUAGAGUUUAAAUUCAACACCAACUCUUGCCGCCCCCUGUUAGCAAAAUAAAUGCUCUUUGAUUGCCAUGAGUUUCGAACCCUAGACCUCUUUGCCAACUCUAUGACGCCACCUUGCCACUUCACCACAGGCUCUUUUUGUGUCAUAUUUUAUCCCCAAUUAAUUAUAAGGUCUAAAGGCCAAAGUCCAGGUUCCCUUAAAAAAAUAGAAUAAAUUGCAAGAGCCAAGGCUUGAACCCAGGCUCCCAUACAACCUUAAUUAUGCCACUUCCACUAAACCACAUUGCUCCUUGUGCCAUUUAUUUAACACAAUAAUUUAAAAGGCCCUCAUCCAAGCAUCCAGGUUUUUUUCACUUAAUACCAAAAUUUUUGCUAAAGCCCAAGUUUGAACCCAAGAUUUCUCCAACACUUCUCAAAGCCAUUAACCACUAAAGCAAACAUUUAAUUGUUUCAUUUCAUUGCACAAUUAAAUACCUAUAUACAACCUCCUUACGGACCCCCACUCAAGGCCCAAUACUUCUAGGCCCAAAUUCGGGGUGUUACAAAUUAUGUGUUUAUGAUUAUAUCAAAUUUAUUUCAUACGAGCUUACUAAGCUAUAAAUCUUACUUUGUUUAUUUCUUUCUAUGUUUUAUAGUGAAUUCAAAGCUAGCUCGGAUUUGGAGAUUCGUCGGAGUUCGCUUCACACUAUCCAUCUAUCACUUGGUAUCUAUGAAUUUUGGUAAUAUAAGUAUAUGCCAUGUAUAGGGACUUGGUAUUUUUGGUAUAUAUAUUUUGUCCAUUUGUGUUGGCUUGUAAAUAUUCGGUUUGAAAUGUAUAUAUAUAGCCAUGUGAGUUGGCUUAUGAUGGUGAAUUUGAUGAUGUUUGUACAAAUAGCCUUUGUUUGAGUUUAGUAAUUGCCUUAUAAAUGCUAGUUAUGAUGAUAUUUAGUGCUUGUUGAAAAUGGAUAUAGUGAAUAUCAAAUGGUUGAGGAAUUGGUAAUUAGUAUGCUUAUGAGUUUAGGUAAUUUGAUACAUGUUUGAAAAUGGCCAUAUUGAUGAAUGAAAAGGGUAAAAUUUGUUAUGUAUUUGAAUUGUAUAUUUUGGUAUGGUGAGUCUUGUAAUUGUUGAUAUUGAAAUGUAAUAAAUGAUGCUUGGUUGAAGUAGAUUGAAUGCUUAUUAAUGCCUUGUAUUGGUACCAAUUGGUUUGAUGUAGGAAUGCACAAAUUUGGGUGGCAAAUUGGCUUGGUAAAUAGCCUAUUUUUGUCCACAUGGGCAGAGACACGGGUGUGUGUCUCAGCCGUGUGUGACAUAUGGUUAUGUUACACAGCCGUGUGUCCCCUGGUGUUGAAAUUAAAAUCAAGUCAGUAUGCUCCACAUGGCUUUACACACUGGCGUAUGACUUGGCCGUGUGGCAUAAGUCAGUGUACCUUACAGGUUCGGCACGGCCUAGCACACGGGCGUGUAUGGCCAUUUUUAGGGCACACGGGCUAGCCACAUGGGCGUGUGUGUUGGCCGUGUGACCCAAGUUAGAGAGUUACAUGGGGUCAGACAUGGGUUGGGACACAGCCAUGUACUCCUAUUUUGAAUGUCCACAUGGUCUAUGACAAAGGCGUGUCUAUUGGCUGUGUGAGACACACGACCGGGCCACACGGGCGUGUAUCCCCUGUUUUGAGAAAAAAUUCUAAGUUUCGUAAAAAUCUCUUGAGCUAUCGAUUUAGUCCCAAACCAUUCCUAAAGCAUGUUUAGGGCGUCGUAGGCUCGUUAUAGGGACGUUAUGCUUGAGUUUGAAUAAUGUUUGCAUGAAAUGUGAAAUUAUAUGUGAAUUGAAUGUUUAAAUGUUUUAUAAGUUCGAUAAUACUCUGUAACCCUAUUCUGGCGUUGAAUACUGGUGAGGGGUGUUACAUGAAUGCCAUACGAUUUCGGCUUAUCAGAAAAAUCCUUCCCUACCACUACACUCUAUAAUGGGAGUUCCCUAGAAUUCUCUUCUUCAAUCACUCUGAAUUGUGGAUAUAUACCAUCAAUAAUUUGCAGUUUUCACUGCUAAUGGCUAUGGACACACAACACAUUGAUGUAGGUUGAAUUUGCUUUAGCUGUGGGUACACAACGCACAAUUAAAUGCAAAUACUUACUCGUAGAUAAAAGCUAUCAAAAGGUUUAUGGUUGAACAGUAAAACGAACGUUGUUGGAAUCUACUUUUGCUAUGGAUACACAACAAACAAUUAAAUGCAAAUAUACCGUCAUAUACUUCCUCUGAGCAUAACGUGUCAUCCCAUACAAUGUAGUAUAUUCAAUUUUAAUGCAUACAUAUAUUGUAACAUUUAAUGUUCAAACACAUGACAAAUCAAUAACAAACUCAAGAAUUUCAUACAUUUGAUUUGACAAUCAUUUAAGGCAUACUGUUCAUACGAUCAAACAAAUAUAUAGAGUAACACAUAUAAAAUUUAUAAUUUAUGCAAAUAUUCAUAGAUAAGAAUAAAUACCACAUUAAUUUAGUCAUUCAUGGAUUCUAGAAUACUAUAUAUAAUCAGGGAUCUAAUUGCAUAAUUUAAUUCUCUAAAAAUAGUGUGAAACCUAUUUAGGAACUAAACUAAUCAAAACAUAAAAUUUUAGGUCAAAAUUGUAAAAUUUAAGAAACAGAGGCACAUAGCCAUGUGGAAUGGCUCAGGACGUGUGGGUCACAUGGUUGUUGGGAGGGCCGUGUGAGAUGGCCCAGGCCUUGUGGGUCAGAUGGUUGUGUGGAAGGGUCCAAACCGUGUGGUCUAGGUUGGGUUUGAUUUUGCUUUGAUUUUCUUGUAAAGGAACACACAGCUGAUUUUUGGGGUCUCGUAUGAUGAUCCUCACGUCCAAAUCUUAUCUAGGUUACCUACAUGGAUCUUUGAUUGACAAAAAUGCAAGAAUUAAUAUCUACCUUCAAGAUUUAUCAAAUUUUAGCAAGAUUUUUGAAAAAUCUUCAAAAAGAUUUGAAAUCGAUUUGAAAGAUUGUCAAGAAUGAUGCUAUUCCAUAAUCCUAGGAUUCUAUGGAAUUAGAAACAAAAUUGCUUACUGAUCUUGGCUCAUUUAGAUAGGAAUUUCACAAUGUUUCAUUAAAUCAAGACGAAAACCAGAUUGAAUGGGAUUGAUUUUGAGUUCAGGAUUCAAUUAUAAAAUUUUCAACAAAAGAAUAUGAAGAUUUCUAAAAAAGAAAAAUGAGAAAAUAAAAGAAAAAAGAUGUAUUUAAAAAAGAGAAAAGAAAUUCUAAAUAGGGCAAAAGAUAAUCAAAAUUCUAUUAUGAUUAGGAAUGGACUAAAUGGCUACGUUAAGAAAACUAUAGAAGGUUUAUUUAGUAAUUAAACCAUUGUGGCCGAAUUUAAAGCGGAAAAAAGGGGAAAUAAGGUUAGUGUAAUAUCCUGAAUUAGGGCUUAAUCAGAAUAGUGGUUUCGUAACCACAAAUCUGAGAUAGAAAUAAUUAUUUUACAAUUAUUUUGAUGUUUAUGAUAUGAUUUCAUGAUUGUGUGAAAAUUUCGUGAUGAAAUUCUAUGCCUAAAGUGCUUAAAUUGAAAGUAGGGACUAAAUCGAAUAAGUUGCAAAAUUUGCAUUCUAGAAGUUUUUAGUAUGAAAUUGUUUUGGAAUAUUAAUGAGGAGGUCUUAAAUAGAAAUUUGACCAAUUUUAAGUUCAUGGACAAAAUUAGGACAUGGAAGGAAUUUUUGGAAAGUUUAGUAGUAAGGGUAUUUUGGUCAUUUAGUUAUUAAAAUGAAUUAAAAGCAAAAUUAAAAGCCAAUUUUUGUCCAUCUUCUUCAUUAGGCCGAAAAUUCAAGGGUUCUCCAUAGCUAGGGUUUGUUUCAAGCUUCCAAGCUCCAUAGUAAGUGAUUCCAAGCCCCGUUUUUAAUGUUCUUUACGUUUUUGAAAUUCCGGAAGCUCGAUUAAGCUUAUGCUAGCAAUAAUUUAACCUAGGGUUUAUAUUUGGAAAAAUACCCAUAGGUGAAAUUUUUGUAUUUUGAUGUUUUAUGAUAGAAUAUGGGGUUUUAAAUUAUGUUAGACAACUUGUGCUACUCGGUUUUGAGUGAAAACGAGUAAAAGGGCUUAAUCGGCAAAAAUACCUAAUAGUCACAAGUAUAUGUUAGAGUAAGAAUUUGAUGUUGCCAUAGAAGGGAAAAAUGAUCAGCAUGUUAUAAAACAUAAGAAUAAGGAAUAAAGUUUAAUUCCCGAGCCUAGGGGCAAAAGUGUAAUUAUGCAAAAGUUUAGGGGAAAAAGUGUAAUUUUUCCAAAGUUCGUAUUAAAUGCUGUUUUGAUGAAUGUAUGUAUUAAAUAAGACUAAUUUGGCAUUAUAGAUUAAGAGAAACGAGAUUCAAGUCGCGAUCGAGGAAAAGAAAAGAUUGUGGACUAAAUUGCAAAAUCUUUAUAUUUUGGUACCAAGGUAAGUUCAUGUGUAAAUGUAGUAACAUAAUUGUCAUUUUAAGCAAUUUAAUGUUGUUUAUAUGAUAUGAUGCUGAUUAUUAUCAUGAAAUAUUAUACUUUGUGGUUAUUGUUGAAUAAUAUGUAAUUAUGUGAAUUACUUGAUGAGUACGAACUAUCACCGAAGUACCGAUUUCGAUAUUCCGUGGAAGACGGCAAAGAUGUGUGAUCGAGGAAAAUGCCCGUUUGAACCUUAGGAAUAGAUUAGGACACAAGUGACAUGUGACUAGGAUGGUUGAGCAUCCGAACUCGUUGAGUUGAGUCCGAGUUCACUUAUGGAUGCGAAUGUCCGAACUCGUUGAGUUGAGUCCGAGUUCGUGAGAUGUAACUAGGCAUCCGAACUCGUUGAGUUGAGUCCGAGUUCACUUAUGGAUGCGAACGCCCGAGCUCGUUGAGUUGAGUCCGAGUUCACUUAGGGGCGGGUUACAUGAUUUCUUGAUUACAUAUAUGGCAUUUAUGUGCAAAUUAUCCAUGUAUCCAAGUUAUAUUCCGAUGUGUUCAACGGGUGAAAUUUCUAGUGAAAUGGAAGAACACUUAAGAUGCAAGCGACGUUUUGGUAAGUGUUGUGAAAUGGACACUUUGGACAGGUAUGUUCUUAACCCUCGGGUUGAAAAUAGAUACAACAAUGAUAAGGUGGUAAGAUGAUGAAUAAUGUUCAGAAAUGUGAUAUAUGUUUUGGUGAUACCAUGCUAAAGUUGUUUGGUAUAUUUGUGUUGUUAUGUUACUUGUUAUUUACAUAUGAACUUACUAAGCAUUUAUGCUUACUACCUCCUCUUUAUUUACUGUAGUUUUGAAUAAGCCAGCUCGGGAAUCGGGACGGGUCGAAGGUUCGAUCACACUAUCCAAAGGACUUUCAUCUGGGUAAAUGGCUUGUAAAACUUAAGUAUGGCAUGUAUAGCAAUAUACUUAUUUUGUGUAAAUAAUUUUAUGAUAUGGCCAUGAUUGGUUGAGAAAAUGUUUGAUAUUGAUAAGUCAUGGUGAUGGUUAAAUUUAGAUCAUGUUUGAUAUCAUGGAAGUUUAAUAGGUUAUCUAGUUCAUAACAACUCAUGAAAAGAUGAAAUUUGCCUUAAAACAGAAUAUUGCUGCAGCAAUGACAUGAAUUUGAAAAAUCACUAAAAAUAGUAUAAAUGGAAUUAAAUUAUGUUCAAGUUAUGAAAUUGAAUCUUAAUGAGUCUAUUUUCAUAUGGAUUAAAAAAAACAAGCAUAUAAAUUAUACUUUAUGAGAUAUUUGAAACCUUGUGAAACAAGGCCAGAGUGAUUUCUGAAUCCUCUGUUCUGACUUUAAAAAUUCAUAAUAAAUUUAAAAAAAAUAAUUAGAAGUCAUUAUUUAUAUUUAAAGAUUCCUUGUUGAGUAUAGUUUUAAGAGAAACAAACCUCGUUGUCAGUGAAAUUAUGUAUAGAUAGAUAUCUGAUUCGUAAUACACAGAGGUCAGAGCAGUCGAACCCUAAAACAGGGGAGACUUUAACUAAUAAACUGUACUAAUUGGCCCAACCAAAAAUUCUAGAAAACAAUUAGUAAAUAUAUAUAUGAGUCUAGAUUUAGGGAAAAUUUAUGAAUCUUGAUUUCAAGUUUCGUAAAUCGAGAUAUGAUUUUUCUUGUAACUGUGACGCGGGUAGCUAGAAAGCUAUGAAUGUAGAAACAAAUGAUUUGAAGUUUUUAAUUUGAUAAAUUAUGUUCGGUAACCCCUCAAGCUCGACUCCGGCGAUGGUUUCGGGGGGGCAUUACAUUUGGUGGUAUCAGAGCAGGUUUAGUCAGUUCUCGGACUACGUGUUGUAUAUAGGAUUUUGCUAUACAUGCCAUAUAUAUGAAUUGUGAUAGUGUGACAACUUCUGACCUUUUUAAAUGAUUUUUAUAUAGUAAAUGGAUCCCGAUCCAGCUGUGGCAGAUGAAGUAGAGAGUAAUGCGCCAGCUCCGGUUGAAGGGGCAGUGCCGACUGAAAACCCACCCCCUACUGUUGGUCAGGGAGGAGGAGAAAGGGAUCGGGAAGCCUUUCUCCAAAUGAUGAGUGCAUGGUACAUUGAGUUCGUUCGUACGAACCCAAAUGUACGACCUCCCCCACCUCCCCCAAUUCCUCAACCUAUGCCUUCGAUGCCUCAGGGAGUGGAUAUGAUAAAAUUUCACAGAACUCCCGUUGACAGAAUUCGUAAACAAGAGGCUGAAGAAUUUAGAGCAAAUAUUGAUGAUGAUGCAGAGAAAGCAGAGUUCUGGCUUGAAAAUUCUAUCUGGGUAUUUGAUGAAUUAUCUUGUACACCUGAAGAAUGUUUGAAAUGUGCUACAUCUUUGUUGAGAGAUUCAGCCUAUAAUUGGUGGAAGACUUUGAUUUCGGUGGUACCGAAAGAGAGGGUAAUCUGGGAAUUCUUUCAAGAAGAGUUUCGGAAGAAAUAUAUUAGUGAAAGAUUUAUUGAUCAGAAAUGUAAAGAGUUUCUUGAGCUGAAGCAAGGUAAUAUGACAGUCUUAGAAUAUGAAAGAGAGUUUGUUCGAUUGAGUAAGUAUGCCAGGGAAUAUGUUCCUACAGGAGCCAAGAUGUGCCAACGAUUUGAAGACGGGCUUAACGAAGACAUUAAGGUAUUUGUUGGGAUCCUUGAACUAAAAGAAAUGGUGGUACUUGUCGAUCGAGCUUGCAAGGCUGAAGAAUUACUGAAGGAAAAGAAAAAGGUAGAAUCUGAAACACAAAAUUGGAAGAAAAGACCAAUGAGUAAUGCAUCCUCACAACAAACCGGAAAGUCAAGAAAUAUGAAUCCUCGUUCCCAAGUUUCAGCUGGGCAAUCAUAUGGAAAUUUUAAGAAGCGAAAUGUGGGUCCUAAAUCUCAGACUAUUUCUGCGGCUAGUGUGGGAAAUACGAGAUUUGUUAAACCCGAGUGCCAGCGGUGUGGUUGAAAUCAUUUUGGUCCGUACAGAGCAAAUGAAUGUUUUCGAUGUGGUUUUCUGGAUCAUUUUAUUAGAGACUGCCCAGAGAGAGCUGAGAAAGAAAAAUUUCAGAGUGUAAAAGCUAGUGGUGCAGACUCGACGGAAAGGUAUCCGAGAAAAGCUGGAAGUGAAACAAGUAGUAAGAAUGUAGCCAGAGAUGCAGCAGUUAGAUCUGAAGGAAGAGCUCCGGUUAGAACUUAUGCUAUUAAAGCGCGUGAAGAUGCUUCCUCACCCGAUAUGAUUACCGGUACAUUUUCUCUUGAUGAUACUAAUGUUAUUGCUUUGAUUGAUCCCGGUUCUACUCAUUCAUAUGUAUGCAUGAAACUGGUGUCUAGUAUGAAUAUACCUGUUGAGAACACAAAAUUUAUGAUUAGAGUGUCGAAUCUGUUAGGCAAAUGCGUGAUAGUUGAUAAAGUAAGCAAGAAAUGCCCUUUAAUGAUUCGAGGUCAUUACUUUCUGGCCGACUUGAUGUUGUUUCCGUUUGAUAUAUUUGAUGUUAUUUUGGGUAUGGGUUGGUUGACAUUUCAUGAUGCUAUAGUAAAUUGCAAAGAAAAGGUUAUAGAAUUAAAAUGUGAAAGUGGUGAAAUCUUGCGGGUUGAACCAGACAAAUCAGAGGCAAUAUUUAGUAUGAUUUCUUCGAUGUCGGCUCAGAGAUAUUUGAGAAAGGGUUAUGAAGCUUAUUUGGCGUAUGUAAUUAAUACAAAAGAAGUUGAAAAGAAAGUUGAAUCAGUGCCGGUUGUGUGUGAAUUUGCGGAUGUAUUUCUAGAAGAAUUGCCGGGUUUGCCUCCAGUCAGGGAAGUAGAAUUUGGUAUUGAUUUGAUACUGGGAACAGCUCCGAUCUCGAUUGCUCCAUAUAGAAUGGCACCAACAGAAUUGAAAGAAUUAAAGUCGCAGUUGUAAGAGUUAACUGAUAAAGGCUUUGUGAGACCAAGUUUUUCACCUUGGGGUGCUCCCGUGUUAUUUGUGAAAAAGAAGGAUGGUUAUGAGAUUAUGUGUUGAUUAUCGGUAGUUAAACAAGGUGACAAUAAAAAACAAGUAUCCAUUGCCGAGAAUUGAUGAUUUUUUUGAUCAGCUAAAAGGAGCGACAUGGUUUUCAAAGAUUGACUUGAGAUCUGGGUAUUAUCAGUUGCGAGUGAAAGAGUCAGAUAUGCCUAAAACUGCUUUUAGAACAAGGUACAGUCAUUAUGAAUUUUUAGUUAUGCCAUUCGGGUUGACAAAUGCUCCUACUGUGUUUAUGGACUUAAUGAAUCGCAUAUUUCGGCCAUACCUGGAUAGAUUUGUUGUGGUGUUUAUAGAUGAUAUUUUAAUUUAUUCAAAAGAUGAGACAGAGCAUGCUGAGCAUUUGAGGAUAGUUUUGCAAACUUUGAGAGAUAAGCAGCUGUAUGCUAAGUUUAGUAAAAGUGAAUUUUGGCUCCAGGAAGUUAGAUUUUUGGGUCAUAUUGUUUCAGGUGAUGGUAUACGGGUUGAUCCUAGUAAAAUUUCAGCCAUUGUUGAUUGGAAACCACCGAAAAAUGUAACUGAAGUUAGGAGUUUCUUGGGGCUAGCUGGGUAUUAUCGGCGGUUUGUAAAUGGAUUUUUUAUAAUUGCUGCUCCUAUGACUAGACUACUCUGAAAGGAUGUUAAAUUUGAAUGGACGGAAGAAUGUCAACAGAGUUUCGAAGAAUUGAAAAAGUUAUUAACUGAAGCACCAGUGUUGAUACAACCCGAAUCAAGUAAAGAAUUUGCGGUGUGUAGUGAUGCUUCUCUAAAUGGUUUGGGGUGUGUACUCAUGCAAGAAGGAAAAGUGGUGGCUUAUGCUUCGAGGCAGUUAAAACCUCAUAAGAGGAAUUAUCCUACUCACGAUUUGGAAUUGGCUACAAUGGUGUUUGCUUUGAAGAUUUGGCGACAUUAUUUGUAUGGUGAAAAGUGUCGAGUAUAUAUCGAUCACAAAAUUCUUAAAUACUUGAUGUCACAAAAAGACUUGAAUUUGAGACAGCGAAGAUGGUUAGAGUUAUUGAAAGAUUACGAGCUUGUUAUUGAUUAUCAUCCGGGAAAAGCGAAUGUGGUUGCCGAUGCUUUAAGCAGAAAGUUGUUGUUUGCUUUGAGAGUUAUGAACACUUAGUUGAAAAUGUCAGAUGGCGGUUCGAUUCUAGCAGAGUUAAGAGCAAGACCGAUGUUUUUACAAGAGAUUUUUGAAGCUUAGAAAAAUGAUCAAGAUUUGCUAGACAAGAGAAAACAGUGUGAAGCUGAUACGGUGUAACACCCUGAAUUUGGGCCUAGAAGUUUUGGGCCUUGAGCAUGGGAGCGGUUGAAGGCAGCUUAUAAUAUUCUAUUGUGCAUGCAAAUUUCAUUAAUGAAGGCUUGUUUUAGUGGUUAAGUGUGUUGAGAAGUGUUGGAGAAGUCCUAGGUUUAAACCUGGACUCUAGCAAAAAAAAUUGUUUUAAGGUGAAUCAAACCCUGGGUGUAGUAGGUAGGCCUUAAGAAUAUUGUUGGAGAAAUUGUGACACGCCAAGUUCGAGCCAAACUUCCAGGCCAGAUUUGGGGUGUUACAUUUAGUGGUAUUAGAGCCUGGGUUGCAACAACUCGGCUGUGGAUUGGGUUUUCAAAGGUUGAAUUUUAGAAAAUUAUUUUCAACCACAUGGUCUGUUUGAAGUAUUUCUCUUAAAAAGUGUGGCACACCGAGUCUCCGGCGCCGAAUCCGUAAGUCUUCUGAAUACUUUUUUCUAUUUAGAAAUUGAAAUACUAUGGAUUCCUUAGAUAUUGGUCUGAAUUUAAAUUUGGUAUUUAUUUUAUGUGGAUGUGAUGUUUGGAUAUAGAAAUUGUAUAUAUGUGUGAUAAAUAUGUGUCUGCUUCAGUGAAUAAGUGUUGUAUGUAUGAGAUGUUUCAAGUUCUAGUUGAAGUGUGAUAGUGAUAGUAGGAUCAGAGUGCGCAGUGGUAGCGUAGUGGGGUAGAUGUUACACGACUACCCUGUUAGAUGGAAAUUUCGAGGACGAAAUUUCUUUAAGGGAGGUAGAGUUGUAACACCCUGAAUUUGGGCCUAGAAGUUUUGGGCCUUGAGCAUGGGAGCGGUUGAAGGCAGCUUAUAAUAUUCUGUUGUGCAUGCAAAUUUUGUUAAUGAAGGCUUGUUUUAGUGGUUAAGUGUGUUGAGAAGUGUUGGAGAAGUCCUGGGUUUAAACCUGGACUCUAGCAAAAAAAAUUGGUUUAAGGUGAAUCAAACCCUGGGUGUAGUAGGUAGGCCUUAAGAAUAUUGUUGGAGAAAUUGUGACACGCCAAGUUCGAGCCAAACUUUCAGGCCGGGUUUGGGGUGUUACAUUUAGUGAUCAGAUUUUAGAACCGGUUCUGAUGGUUGUUUGAUGUUUAAAAAUCAGAUUUGUGUACCGAAAAAUGAAGAGUUGAUUCGAAAGAUUUUGCAUGAAGCACAUAAUGGUUGUUUGGCGGUUCAUCCAGGUAGUACGAAGAUGUAUAAUGACUUAAAGAAAAUGUACUGGUGGAGUGGAAUGAAAAGAGAUAUUUCCGAGUUUGUAUCAAAGUGCUUAGUUUGUCAACAAGUGAAAGCUGAACACCAAGUACCUUCAGGAUUACUCCAGCCUAUCAUGAUUCCUGAAUGGAAAUGGGAUCGAAUUACUAUGGGUUUUAUAUCAGGGUUGCCGUUAACUCCAGGGAAGAAAAAUGCCAUUUGGGCAAUAGUUGACAGACUGACUAAAUCGGCUCAUUUUAUUCCGGUACGUACAGAUUAUUCUCUUAAUAAGUUGGCUGAAUUGUAUAUCCGAGAGAUUGUUAGACUUCAUGGGAUACCUUUGUCAAUCAUUUCGAAUAGAGAUCCAAGGUUUACCUCACGGUAUUAGCAAAAGUUGCAAAAGGCAUUAGGUACAAAGUUAAAUUUCAGCACUGCCUUUCAUCCACAAACUGAUGGACAAUCAGAGAGAGUAAUUUAGAUUCUUGAAGACAUGCUCAGAUGUUGUGUAUUGGAAUUUCAAGGUAGUAGGGAAAAGUAUUUACCGUUGGUAGAAUUUACUUAUAAUAAUAGUUAUCAGACAAGUUUGAAGAUGGCACCUUAUGAAGCAUUAUAUGGUCGUAAAUGUCGGACGCCAUUGUAUUGGAUUGAACUCAAGGAAAAUCAGAUUUAUGGAGUUGAUUUAAUAAAAGAAACCGAAGAAAAGGUGAAAGUAAUUCGAGAUUGUUUGAAAGCUGGACCGGAAGGGUAAGUUAAGUCCGCGUUUUAUUGGACCGUAUGAAAUAAUUGAAAAAGUUGGACCGGUAGCAUAUCGGCUUGCACUACCACCUGAAUUAGAGAAGAUUCAUGAUGUGUUUCAGGUAUCUAUUUUACGUCGGUAUCGUUCGGAUCCUUCACAUAUAAUUUCACUGACAGAAAUUGAACUGCGACCGGAUAUGACUUAUGAAGAAGAACCGAUUAAGAUUUUAGCUCGAGAAGUCAAACAACUAAGAAAUAAAAGUGUUGCACUUGUGAAAGUGUUGUGGCAAAAGCAUGGGGUAGAAGAGACUACAUGGGAACCUGAAGAAACUAUGAGAAACCAAUACCCACACCUAUUUACCGGUAAGAUUUUCAAGGACAAAAAUCCUUAAAAGGGGGGGAGAGUUGUAAUAUCCUGAAUUAGGGCUUAAUCGGAAUAGUCGUUUCGUGACCACAAAUCCGAGAUAGAAAUAAUUAUUUUACAAUUAUUUUGAUGUUUAUGAUAUGAUUACAUGAUUGUGUGAAAAUUUCGUGAUGAAAUUCUAUGCCUAAAGUGCUUAAAUUGAAAGUAGGGACUAAAUCGAAUAAGUUGCAAAUUUUGCAUUCUAGAAGUUUUUAGUAUGAAAUUGUUUUGGAAUAUUAAUGAGGAGGUCUUAAAUAGAAAUUUGACCAAUUUUAAGUUCAUGGACAAAAUUAGGACAUGGAAGGAAUUUUUGGAAAGUUUAGUAGUAAGGGUAUUUUGGUCAUUAAGUUAUUAAAAUGAAUUAAAAACAAAAUUAAAAGCCAAUUUUUGUCCAUCUUCUUCAUUAGGCCGAAAUUUCAAGGGUUCUCCAUAGCUAGGGUUUGUUUCAAGCUUCCAAGCUCCAUAGUAAGUGAUUCCAAGCCCCGUUUUUAAUGUUCUUUACGUUUUUGGAAUUCCGGAAGCUCGAUUAAGCUUAUGCUAGCAAUAAUUUAACCUAGGGUUUAUAUUUGGAAAAAUACCCAUAGGUGAAAUUUGUGUAUUUUGAUGUUUUAUGAUAGAAUAUGGGGUUUUAAAUUAUGUUAGACAACUUGUGCUACUCGGUUUUGAGUGAAAACGAGUAAAAGGGCUUAAUCGGCAAAAAUACCUAAUAGUCACAAGUAUAUGUUAGAGUAAGAAUUUGAUGUUGCCAUAGAAGGGAAAAAUGAUCAGCAUGUUAUAAAACAUAAGAAUAAGGAAUAAAGUUUAAUUCUCGAGCCUAGGGGCAAAAGUGUAAUUUUUCCAAAGUUCGUAUUAAAUGCUGUUUUGAUGAAUGUAUGUAUUAAAUAAGAUUAAUUUGGCAUUAUAGAUCAAGAGAAACGAGAUUCAAGUUGCGAUCGAGGAAAAGAAAAGAUUGUGGACUAAAUUGCAAAAUCUUUAUAUUUUGGUACCAAGGUAAGUUCAUGUGUAAAUGUAGUAACAUAAUUGUCAUUUUAAGCAAUUUAAUGUUGUUUAUAUGAUAUGAUGCUAAUUAUUAUCAUGAAAUAUUAUGAUUUGUGGUUAUUGUUGAAUAAUAUGUAAUUAUGUGAAUUACUUGAUGAGUAUGAACUAUCACCGAAGUACCGAUUUCGAUAUUCCGUGGAAGACGGCAAAGAUGUGUGAUCGAGGAAAACGCCCGUUUGAACCUUAGGAAUAGAUUAGGAUACAAGUGACAUGUGACUAGGAUGGUUGAGCAUCCGAACUCAUUGAGUUGAGUCCGAGUUCACUUAUGAUGCGAAUGUCCGAACUCGUUGAGUUGAGUCCGAGUUCGUGAGAUGUAACUAGGCAUCCGAACUCGUUGAGUUGAGUCCGAGUUCACUUAUGGAUGUGAAUGCCCGAGCUGGUUGAGUUGAGUCCGAGUUCACUUAGGGGCGGGUUACAUGAUUUCUUGAUUACAUAUAUGGCAUUUAUGUGCAAAUUAUCCAUGUAUCCAAGUUAUAUUCCGAUGUGUUCAACGGGUGAAAUUUCUAGUGAAAUGGAAGAACACUUAAGAUGCAAUCGACGUUUUGGUAAGUGUUGUGAAAUGGACACUUUGGACAGGUAUGUUCUUAACCCUCGGGUUGAAAAUAGAUACAACAACGAUAAGGUGGUAAGAUGAUGAAUAAUGUUCAGAAAUGUGAUAUAUGUUUUGGUGAUACCAUGCUAAAGUUGUUUGGUAUAUUUGUGUUGUUAUGUUACUUGUUAUUUACAUAUGAACUUACUAAGCAUUUAUGCUUACUCCCUCCUCUUUAUUUACUGUAGUUUUGAAUAAGCCAGCUCGGGAAUCGGGACGGGUCGAAGGUUCGAUCACACUAUCCAAAGGACUUUCAUCUGGGUAAAUGGCUUGUAAAACUUAAGUAUGGCAUGUAUAGCAAUAUACUUAUUUUGUGUAAAUAAUUUUAUGAUAUGGCCAUGAUUGGUUGAGAAAAUGUUUGAUAUUGAUAAGUCAUGGUGAUGGUUAAAUUUAGAUCAUGUUUGAUAUCAUGGAAGUUUAAUAGGUUAUCUAGUUCAUAACAACUCAUGAAAAGAUGAAAUUUGCCUUAAAACAGAAUAUUGCUGCAGCAAUGACAUGAAUUUGAAAAAUCACUAAAAAUAGUAUAAAUGGAAUUAAAUGAUGAGAAAGUUAUGACAUUUAAGCUUAAUGAGUCUAUUUUCAUAUAGAUUAAAAAAACAAGCAUAUAAAUUAUACUUUAUGAGAUAUUUGAAACCUUGUGAAACAGGGCUAGAGUGAUUUCUGGAUCCUCUGUUCUGACUUUAAAAAUUCAUAAUAAAUUGUAAAAAUAUAAUUAGAAGUCAUUAUUUAUAUGUAAAGAUUCCGUGUUGAGUCUAGUUUUAAGAGAAACAAACCUUGUAGUCAUUGAAAUUCUGUAUAGAGAGAUAUAUGAUUCUUAAUACACAGAGGUCAGAGCAGUUGAACCCUGAAACAGAGGAGACUUUAACUAAUAAACUGUACUAAUUGGCCCAACCAAAAAUUCUAGAAAAAAAUUAGUAAAUAUAUAUAUGAGUCUAUAUUUAGGGAAAAGUUACAGAUCUUGAUUUUGAGUUUCGUAACUCGAGAUAUGAUUUUUCUUGUAACAGUGACGCGGGUAGCUAGAAAGCUGUGAAUGGAGAAACAAAUGAUUUGAAGUUCUUAAUUUGAUAAAUUAUGUUCGGUAACCCCUCAAGCUCGACUCCGGUGAUGGUUUCGGGCGUGGGGGUGUUACAGUUAGCAUGGAUAGAACUUAGGAUAAGGGGAAAUUGUGCCAAAACCCUAUCACUAAACUAACAGGCUCAUUCUUAGUCCUUUCCUACCACAUUUAAUACUU